rnacentral:lncRNA from 1 species
AUGAUUGGGAGCUUACUUCUCCAUCUAAUGGGGAGCGCACUGUGGUUUUAGUUGGCCGUACUGGCAAUGGCAAAAGUGCGACGGGCAACAGUAUUCUUGGAAGAAGAGCCUUCAAGUCAAGGGCUAGUUCAUCUGGUGUUACUAGUACCUGUGAAAUGCAGAGAACCGUGCUCAAAGAUGGCCAAGUUGUUAAUGUCAUUGAUACCCCUGGUAGUUUACUGAUGUCAUUGCCUAGAUAUUCCAUUUCCAUGCUUGUUGAUGUUGUGGUGGUAAGUAGAUUGAUGUUAUGAGUAAUUGCAGGACUUUUUGAUUUUUCCGCUGGCUCUGAGUUUGUUGGCAAGGAAAUUGUCAAAUGUAUCGGUAUGGCCAAGGAUGGGAUCCAUGCAGUCCUUGUAGUUUUCUCUGUUAGAAGCCGUUUUUCUCAAGAGGAAGAAGCUGCACUACACAGUUUGCAGACCUUGUUCGGGAAAAAAAUUUUUGACUAUAUGAUUGUUGUUUUCACUGGAGGGGAUGAACUUGAAGAUAAUGAUGAAACGUUAGAAGAUUAUUUGGGUCGUGAGUGUCCAAAGCCUUUAAAGGUUUGUUUCUGAACAGCAAUAGUGUUCGAUAAUUUCCAUUUUGAUCAAGUUGUCUUGGGUUGCUUCUUUUGUGAAGUUUUAGAUUCCUUUACAGAUGGACUAUUGGAAGUUUAAUAUGAAUAUAUGCAUGCUGAAAAUACUAGAUAGGUGUAUAGUAGUCCAGCCGUCUUAAAAUUCCAUUUUCAAUAGUGCUUCAUUUCCUGAAUGGUUUUCUUCUGCCAAGCGGGAUUGGCCGGAGAGGUGAUUGGUUGGUAAUUUUCUGCUGGCGUUACUUAAUUUUAGUUAUAUUUUAAUGUCUUUGAAUGAGAUGUCAUUCAUUCAUUUGCUAAGCAUUUAUGCUUUUCUUAUUUGUAUUCUUUGAUUUCAUCUGUUAUUUAAUCUUUGGUUCUUAUUCUAUUAACGUGUGUUCAUUUGUUUGUUCCUUAAAAUAUGUACCUCUUUGAUUUAUAUGCUUAAAAUUAACCUACUUUUAAGAUUUUAGAAGUGCACCAAGGAGGAUAUGACUUGCCAUACAGGUCCAUUUUAUUAGGCGUUGUUUGAAUAAAAUAUCAAGUCUAACUUUACAAGAUUUAAAAUUCUCUUUAAAAUCCCUGUGGAUACUAGCCCCAUAAUUGGUGUCUAAAAUUUCAAUGUGAGAUCUUUUUUCAGUUUCAACAUGCAAAUCUCUUAUUGUCAGAAUUUACUUGAUGAAUUUGGUCCCUAAAACUUUUCAAGUUCAGGAGUAGGAAGAAAAAUAACAAAAAUGAAAAUAAAGACCCCUUUCAAGUUCAGGAGUAGCUUUGCAAUUAACAAAAUCGGGUUAUUUUACAGUUAAAGGGAACAUUGUUUUACUUAUUGUACUAAUUUUUGUAGUUUGAAGGAAUCAAAUUUUUUUAGUUAUCAUGCUGCAAAAUUAGGUCAAUUAUGUAGAUGCCACAGAAAAUAUGAUCAUGUCUUUUGGCAGUUUUGAGCUUUGGUCACUUGAGUUUGUUUAUGACAAUAGUACAGUCUUUCAUGCUUUUUUCUAAAUGUAAGAAUUUGCCUAGUGAAGAGGCAGCUACUGAUUUGUAGGCACUAAUUUUGAUUGGGUCAAUGCUUUUCACUGGAAUAUAUGCAGAUUAUUAUUAUUAUUUUUUCUGUUAUAUGGAAUGCUGAUCACCUUUUAAGAUCUUUAAAUUUGAUGGACGUAAAAGGUUAUUGUAAGUGGUCAAACCAUAAGGAGAAUGGAAUUAAUUAUUAAAAGUUGAUUAUUGCUUGCCCUUAAAUAGUUUUUGGGGAUGCAUGAUAUUAAGUACCAAUGAUCACAAUAAAAACAAAUUUUGUCAGCUGAAUAUCUUCAAACUUUUAGAGACUACAAGUGUUUGAUUGGUUUAUCAAUGCUUACGAAAGGGGCUAACAUUUGCUUUAUUCCUGAUCAUUUUUCCAUUAUUUUAGGAAAUCCUUCAACUAUGUGAUAAUAGGUGCGUGCUUUUUGAUAACAAGACUAAGGAUGAGGCCAAGAGAACUGAGCAGGUUUGGAAGCUUCUUUCUCUGGUUAACUCUGUGGCCGUGCAGAAUGGUGGGCAGCCAUAUACGGAUGAUAUCUUUGCUGAGUUGAAGGUGACUUCGUUACUAUCGUGAUAGACUUCUGUGCUGCUUCUUUCUGAAUAUGUCAUGACGAUGUCUCUUUUUCUUUUUUCUUUUUUCUUUUUUCUAUUCAGAAAGGGGCUACUAAACUCCGUGAUCAACAAUUUGAGGUUGAUUCUCUCAAGGGAUAUUCAAAACGAGAAAUUUCAGAGCUGAAGGAGCAGAUGCAUAAAUCAUAUGAAGAUCAACUCAAACGAAUUACUGAGAUGGUAUUUUUUAUGCUCCUUGUUUUGGCAUCAAAAUAUGACAUGCAUAUGUGUUCAUUUCUCAGAUCCAAAAAUGCUUAUAAAGUGUGCAGGUACCUGUAAUGAUAUUCUAAAUUGUGAGACUUGGAGGUGAUAAAGACUGCCGCUGUGUCCUUACCCCUAGAUUGUUGGAGAUUGCCAUCUGAAAAGAGGCUUUAUCUUGCUAGUUGAUGGGGACAAAUCUGUUAUUAAGUUAUCUGUUCACUGAUUGUGUUUUGAAGGCUGUAACAUGUUGUUCUUACCUUGAAGAUUGUUUGACUGUCUUGUUCUGUUUUGUUUCUUGAUGAAAUUAAGUAGAUUACUCUAUGGUAGUAGCUAUAGGUGGUUUGCUCAUCAUGACUUGCACUUAGGAGUGGAUUCUGCACUUGUUUAGUCAUCAAUCAUAAGAACAUUUCUUGUAAUACUGUAGAUCCUGUUUUGUUGCUAGGAAUUUUGCACUCCUGAAUCUGUGGGAACAUUUGAAAUGUUAUAAGCAAGUUAUGUUAUAUUCUAAUUUUGUUAAAAACAGAAUAGCCACAUUCAAAAUAAGUUUUUUGGAAAAUAUAGUUAGGUACAUGGAACCUAAUCAAAUAGCUGUGUAGUUUAAAUGUUCCUUUCCACAGUUUUAAUUUAUAGCAAGGCAGUAGAAUGAACUGGCAUUAAGCGAGAUCCUAUGCAACAAUAAUCUGGAUUUGCUGUAGCAGUCUGUGUACUGACUAUGUGUCUGAGGUGCUAAUAAGUUUUAAUCUCCACAUUCCUGGAGUGUGGCAAAAUGAAAAAGUUAGUAUAUUCUUUAAUACCUUAUAUUUUGGGUUUAUCUGUUUAUUUUUUUAAGCUUUUGUUUCUACCAUUUAUCAAUGAUUGAGAGAGUGGAAUUGAUUGAAGUAAGAAAGUUGUGCCGAGUAUGGUGAACUUAGCAACUCCCUUUGCAAUUGGAUUAAACUAAAUUAAUACUUAAGAAUUUUCUUCUCUUAAGUUGGAGNNNNNNNNNNNNNNNNNNNNNNNNNNNNNNNNNNNNNNNNNNNNNNNNNNNNNNNNNNNNNNNNNNNNNNNNNNNNNNNNNNNNNNNNNNNNNNNNNNNNNNNNNNNNNNNNNNNNNNNNNNNNNNNNNNNNNNNNNNNNNNNNNNNNNNNNNNNNNNNNNNNNNNNNNNNNNNNNNNNNNNNNNNNNNNNNNNNNNNNNNNNNNNNNNNNNNNNNNNNNNNNNNNNNNNNNNNNNNNNNNNNNNNNNNNNNNNNNNNNNNNNNNNNNNNNNNNNNNNNNNNNNNNNNNNNNNNNNNNNNNNNNNNNNNNNNNNNNNNNNNNNNNNNNNNNNNNNNNNNNNNNNNNNNNNNNNNNNNNNNNNNNNNNNNNNNNNNNNNNNNNNNNNNNNNNNNNNNNNNNNNNNNNNNNNNNNNNNNNNNNNNNNNNNNNNNNNNNNNNNGACUUCUGUGCUGCUUCUUUCUGAAUAUGUCAUGACAAUAUCUCUUUUUCUUUUUUUUUUCUACUCAGAGAGGGGCUACUGAACUCCGUGAUCAACAAGCUGACGUUGAUUCUCUCAAGGAAUAUUCAAAACAAGAAAUUUCAAAGCUAAUGGGCCAGAUGCAGGAAUCAUAUGAAGAUCAAAUCAAACGAAUUACUGAGAUGGUAUUUUUUAUACUCCUUGUUUUGGCAUCAAAAUAUGACAUGCAUAUGUGUUCAUUUCUCAGAUCCAAAAAUGCUUAUAAAGUGUGCAGGUACCUGUAAUGAUAUUCUAAAUUGUGAGACUUGGAGGUGAUAAAGACUGCCGCUGUGUCCUUACCCCUAGAUUGUUGGAGAUUGCCAUCUGAAAAGAGGCUUUAUCUUGCUAGUUGAUGGGGACAAAUCUGUUAUUAAGUUAUCUGUUCACUGAUUGUGUUUUGAAGGCUGUAACAUGUUGUUCUUACCUUGAAGAUUGUUUGACUGUCUUGUUCUGUUUUGUUUCUUGAUGAAAUUAAGUAGAUUACUCUAUGGUAGUAGCUAUAGGUGGUUUGCUCAUCAUGACUUGCACUUAGGAGUGGAUUCUGCACUUGUUUAGUCAUCAAUCAUAAGAACAUUUCUUGUAAUACUGUAGAUCCUGUUUUGUUGCUAGGAAUUUUGCACUCCUGAAUCUGUGGGAACAUUUGAAAUGUUAUAAGCAAGUUAUGUUAUAUUCUAAUUUUGUUAAAAACAGAAUAGCCACAUUCAAAAUAAGUUUUUUGGAAAAUAUAGUUAGGUACAUGGAACCUAAUCAAAUAGCUGUGUAGUUUAAAUGUUCCUUUCCACAGUUUUAAUUUAUAGCAAGGCAGUAGAAUGAACUGGCAUUAAGCGAGAUCCUAUGCAACAAUAAUCUGGAUUUGCUGUAGCAGUCUGUGUACUGACUAUGUGUCUGAGGUGCUAAUAAGUUUUAAUCUCCACAUUCCUGGAGUGUGGCAAAAUGAAAAAGUUAGUAUAUUCUUUAAUACCUUAUAUUUUGGGUUUAUCUGUUUAUUUUUUUAAGCUUUUGUUUCUACCAUUUAUCAAUGAUUGAGAGAGUGGAAUUGAUUGAAGUAAGAAAGUUGUGCCGAGUAUGGUGAACUUAGCAACUCCCUUUGCAAUUGGAUUAAACUAAAUUAAUACUUAAGAAUUUUCUUCUCUUAAGUUGGAGUUUUAUAUUACCAGUACCCAAUUUUUCUUUGUAUUAUACUGCUACUCUAGGGCUUAAUGGCAUGUUUUCUGACUGAUAUUGAUGCUUUUUUGAUAGGUUGAGUCUAAGCUCAAAGAGACAACAACUAGGCUCGAACAGCAAUUGGCAGAGGAGCAAGCUGCUCGAUUAAAGGCAGAAGAGGUUGCACAAUUAGCUCAAAUGAAGUCGAAUGACGAAAUUCGUAAGCUUAGAGAGAAUCUUGAAAGAGCUCAGAGGGAGACAGAGGAGCUCCGUAAGCAAGCUGAAAAAGGAGGGUGUGCCAUUCUUUGACCUAAUCACCUGCUGGCACUAUAUACCAUUGGCAUGAAAAUCACCUAAAGUAUAUUUUUGCUGUCUCCCCUACCUUUUCAGAUAAUAUUUGAAGUUAAUACUGCAUUUAUUCUCAGUGUUUUACUACAGUCAAGAAGCUUGUAUCCUCUAUUAUGUAAAUGUUCCCAGUCCAAUCUCGAGUGCGGUCUUAAGAUAGUAUUAUAUGGAAAAAUUGAAUUGACAUCAAAUGAAGUUUCUUUUAUGGAGCCGUUUAGAAUCUUUUCUUACACGGUGAAUCCAAAGAGAUCUGAUUCCUUUUUCUCCUCACGCUAUCUUGUUUCCACAUUUGUAACAGAUACAACCCAAAAUACGCCCUUUUAACAAUCAAUGACUUUCCCAAAAACUCCAAGUCACUUGAGUUUACUUGUACCUUAACUUUUUUGUUUUCACUCUUCUAAUGUGAUAUUAGUUUGUAUAAAUAGUUUGUUUGUAUAGAAUUUACUCCUUUCAUACAACAGAGUAAUCCUAAUAUCCAAGAGACUUGCAAUAAAACCACCAAGCCUAUGACCCUUCUUUGAUUCACGCCAAACUUCAACCAGCUCAUAGCCUAGAUUUAUCAAGUAUAAUAUUUAUUUAUGCAUAUCUGACACAAUCUUUAUUUACCUUAUACAUAAUGCAAAUCCUUCGACAUCAUACAGCAUCAGUUUUAUAGAUAUUAAGUUUCAGCAUAAUAACUGGUCUCCCAAGGAGAAGAAGCCAAUGAUAAGUCAGCCUAAGUGAUUAGGUUACACAUAAACUAAUCCAGUUUCAUAUAUUGCUGGUUUCAAAAAUAGGUAUCAAGUAGCACACACAUUCAGUAGAUAAUGUAGUCUGAUCGUAGAUCUCGCACUGAGAUGCCACAAGCAUGAUAUCCAGCAUCUAGCUUACCUGCAAAUGGGAGAAAACAUUGAUGCACGCGCAACACGAGUGUGUAGAAAUGAAAUGUGAUGGGAGAAUUAAUUACCCGAGAUGGAGUAUCUUCUUGUCCGGGUGAGAGUAAGCAGUGUCACCACCCUCGAUGAUAGCAGGACUAAGGAAAUUCUGAUAAGCUAAUGCAUGGAUUGCAUUCAGCUCUUGCCCAGUCACCGUGUUUGCUUGCUGAAACCUCUCCAUUUCUGCUAUCUGAGUUUCAGAAACAAUGAAAUUUUAAUAACAUGCUGAAAUUUUGGAAGAGGGAGAGAAAAAAUGCAUUAUACAUACAACGGACUGAUUUGCAUACCUUUGAUCGGAGACACACGCUUUCAUUUUCCAGCUCAAUCUCCUAUGAAAAUGAAAAUGUUAAAGAGUUCCAUAAAAGCUUUGAAGAAAACGAAAAAAAGGCUAACCAGGAUUUAAUGAAUUUUAAUUAUUACCCUUUCUGCAAGAACUCAAUUUCAGCUAGAGGCAUUUCAUGCUGUUGCAAAAAACAGGAAACGCACAAAGCAACAAAUUAUUUUCAAAAUGACAUAAAUUACAUAUAUUGAAUGUAUAUAAAUAAAGUUUAUGCAAUGUAUUGUUGCAAAACAAUGGUGUAUUGCUCAAAUUCAAUUAUUUUUGUAUGCAUAGGACCUGAUCCUAGUGAUGCCUCGCUCAAGCCUGUUCUCCAGUUGCUUAAGCUCCUUUACAGUUAAAGAACUCAGAGAAUCACCCAUCAAAUGCCUAUAUGAAGAGUCAAGAGUGAGAUAACCAAUUGAAAAUUUAUUGAAAUUGUAUAUUUUGGAAUAAUUAAUUAACUACACUUAAUAUGAAAAUAAUUGUUGAUGAAAUAAUUGAAAAUACAUGUUAGAAUUCAGUGACAUUUGAAUUUGCUGCCGCAGCUUUGCUGACUCCUGCUGAUGGUACUGUUUCCAUGGGUCACAUGUAACGGGAGAAGUUAAAUUUUUAUUGGGAACUUUAUAUUUCAAUGCUAGCUAUGUGGUAAUAAAUGAUAAUUAGUUGGUUUUUUUUUUCACCUUUUCAUAAUAAUAUAUAUUCCUAGCAAAGCCUGAAUUUAUAGCUUAAAUUAAUGAAUUACUUACCUGAGCAUUGAUCUCAGUAACAGUGCCAGAAUUUAUUUAUUUUAUAGCUUAAAUUACAUACAUUUACACACGCGCGCGCGCGCGCGCACACACACACACGCUAGGAACAGCAGGUUAUAUUCAUCAAAUUCAUCUAAAAAUAACUAACUAACCAGAUAGCUCAGCUUUUUUUUUUUCCAACUGAAUUUCUGAACUUGGUAGAUUCUCUGCAGGUUUAGCAAUAACCUUCAGGAACUCCAGAUAAUCCGAGUCUUUAUUGUCCACAUCAAAACCAAAUACAGCUGAUUGCUACAGUACUUCUAAAAACAAUAAGAAGAUAAAGAAAAUAAAGGUAACUUUGAAAUUUAGUAGCUUAAGUGUACCGUAAAAGUCAUAGCAUUUCAACCUCAAAAGUACCCUAAGUUUUUUUUUUAAUAAAAAAAUUACCUUUAAAAAUGGUGCCUUCACGGCUAUCAUUUCUAGAACAAGGCUUGGGAACACGUUGAGAUGGAGCAUAUUCAACAACAGCCUUAAACUGAGCACCUAAUCGAGAAACCAAUAACACAUAUAAUCAACCAAACAGAAAGUGCCCUUUUGAUUUAAAACAACAUAAACUCAUUCUUACCAAAUUACGAUUGAUAAGUAAAAGCAAAAGUGUAAGUAAAAUUACCCUUUUCAUUAACAAACAGAUGUAUAUUCAACAACUCCGCAAACUCAAACACAUCCGCAUGCUUCUUCAAUUCUUCAUAUGCUUGUGAAUGCCUCUGAUGCUUGUAAUUGUUAAAAAACUAAAAUCCAAGUUAAAGUAAAAUUUCAAAAAAAAAAAGCCCAAAAAUCAAUCAAUUAUAAAAAAUAAAAAAAUAAAAAAAACCUAAAUUUUCUGGGGCAAAAGUAGAAUCAAUUGUAACGGUCAUUGAAGUGAUCGUGGAAAAGGGCUAACACGUCAUUUUGAGAGAGGGAAAGAGGCAAAUGACGAAUCAAUACUUUGGUUCUCUGCAAUGGCUCCUUCAUUUCAUCGCAUUCAAUUUGUUCCAUUUGUAUUGAAAUCGAAAAUCAAAAAAGAGUUUUGAUUAUUUUGUACCCUAAUUUUUUAUUUGGGUUGAGAAUGAAAUUGGAAUGUUGUUUAUUGGAAAGUUUUAGAUGCACGUAACUGUUGUGUUUUCCUCUAGAGGGGCCUCUGAGCACUCACAAACGGGAGAUUUACCCUUGGGAAACGUCGUCGUGUGGGCGUUCCCUAUGCGGGUAACACGUGUCAAUAAGUUAACGAGAUUCAUAUUUCCUUUCCCGGGGCAACAUCAAUUGAUAUUCCCUCCUUCCCUUCGUAUUACUUUUGGGGAGUCUAGGAAUGUUGUGGAGGCCGUACAGCAGAUAGUCCUCUAUUCAAAUCAAUAUAUACUAAUUAUUUUAGUAUUUUUUAAAAUAUUUAAUAAUUUUUUAAUAAUAUAGUUUUAUAUUAUUUUUAAAUAAAUUUUUAUUUCAUAUUUAUUAUAAAUUAAAUGAAUAAUACAAAUACAAAUAAAAAUAAAAUUUAAUUAUAAAAUAUUUUCUUGUACUUUUUGUUACUUUAAAAUAUUUUUCUUAUAAUGAAUGCAUAUAUUAUAGCUCCAAGAUAAGUUAUUAAGAAAAUUACUCAUUUGCCCUUUUUGUUUUAAUUUUUUUGGGGACGAAAGAGUUUUUAGAUAUUAUAAAAUCAGUAAGAAAUAAGUGAUAUAUAUUAGUUCCAAUAGAAAAAAAAAUUAACAACCUCCUUAAUAAUAAAAGUGACAAAAUAAUGAAAGGCAAAAGAAAGAAAUUGCAUGUUCAUUCAUCUUUUAGAUUCUUUUCUUCUCAACUUUGUAUUUAAACCCUUUUAAAUUCUUUUCUUCUCAACUUUCUAUUUAAUUUUUUUUACAUUCUUUACUUCUCAACUUUCUAUUUAAACUCUUUCAAAUUCUUUUCUUCAAACUCUUUUAGAUUCUUUACUUCUUAACUUUCUGUUUAAACUCUCUUACAUCCUUUACUUCUCAACUUUCUAUUUAAACUUUCUAUUACAUUCAUUAUUCAAUUUAUAAUUUUCAUACCUUAAAUCCUAAAAUUUAAGUCAAGUUUCUUCCCCUUUCUCAUCUCUUCGUACGCAACACAAUCUUUUUAGGUCUCCUCUCUUCGCAAGUAAGUAAAAUCUCAGUUCAUCGCAUCAUCUCACUGUUUGUUUUCAUACUUUGCUUUCUCCAAAUUGCCCUCGCCUUUUCCUCUCAAUCUCAAUUUUUAGUUUUUUUCUUUUGAUUAUAGACUAGAUUUUCUUUACUUUGGUUUGUAAAUUUUAUUGGAUGUACUGCAUAAUCAUGGGUGACCCAAUUAAGGCCCAUGAGGGGUUUUAGCCCCUUCUGAACCAUUAAUUUUUCUUUUAAAUGUACCCCAAGCCUUUUUUCAAAGAAUUAAAUAUUUUGCGAAACUACUUAGAAAAAUGAUACUUUCAUGCCUUUGAAAUAAAUAAUUUGUUACUAUUGUUAUUUAGAAUUUAAAAGAAAGUAAUGAAAUUUGAGUUUAUGAGACUUAAAAUGUAUGGUGUGAACAUUAAAAAAAAACCCAAAUUAAAUAAUUUUUUUUGAAUUAAGUCCCCUUAAUUGAAGUGUUUGGGUCCGCCACUGUGCAUAAUUCAUCAUCGUCAUUUUUUUUCAAUAAUUUCAUAAAACAAGCAGAAUUAAAUUAAAUUAUAUAUCAGCAUGAUUAAUUAAUUAACUGAUGCUGUUUAGAUUCUGAGCUUGAUUAUAUAUCAAUCCAUCAUAUUUUUAUUAAGAUUAUAAAUUUAACUAUAUCGUCGGGGUCCGAAUAAUUUUUAUUUUAAAUAUUUUUUUAAUGAAUUUAUUUAUGUUCGGUUGGAUAAUAUUUAAAGUAAUAACAAAUAUAAGUUUUAAUAGAGUGAAAUUGUAAGGGUAUGGUAACUAAAUUUUCUUUCUUAUUGUUUAACGAUAAAAAGUGAAUUCAAUGUGACGUGGUUUGAUACUGUAAAUGCAUUGCAGGUAAAUUGAAAUUUUUUUUAGGAUGGGAGAAAGAGUGAUUGAUGGCGAUUGGAAGCCUACUUCUCCAUCUAUUGGGGAGCGUACUGUAGUUUUACUUGGCCGUACUGGCAAUGGCAAAAGUGCGACGGGCAAUAGUAUUCUCGGAAGAAAAGCCUUCAAGGCGAGUGCUGGCUCGUCUGGUGUUACUAUAACUUGUGAAAUGAAGACAACCGUGCUCAAAGAUGGCCAAGUUGUUAAUGUCAUUGAUACCCCCGGUAAUUUACUAAUGUUGGUGCCUAGAUAUUCCAUUCCAUGCUUGUUGAUGUUGUGGUGGCAAGGAGAUUGAUGUUAUGAGCCAUUGCAGGGCUUUUUGAUUCUUCCGCUGGCUCUGAGUUUGUCGGCAAGGAAAUUGUCAAAUGUAUUGGUUUGGCCAAGGGUGGGAUCCAUGCAGUCCUUGUAGUUUUCUCUGCUCGAAACCGUUUUUCUCAAGAGGAAGAAGCUGCAGUACACCGUUUGCCGACCUUGUUCGGGAAAAAAAUUUUUGACUAUAUGAUUGCUGUUUUCACUGGAGGGGAUUAUCUUGAAGAUAAUGAGAAAACAUUAGAAGAUUAUUUGGGUCAUGAGUGUCCAAAGCCUUUAAAGGUUUGUUUCUGAACUGCAACAGUGUUCGAUAAUUUCAUUAGUCAUUUUGAUCAAGUUGUCUUUGGUUGGUUCUUUUGUGAAGUUUUAGACUCCUUUACGGUUGGACCAUUGGAAGUUUACUAUGAAUAUAUGCAUGCUGAAAAUACUAGAUAGGUGUAUAGUAGUCCAGCCGUCUUAAAAUUCCAUUUUCAAUAGGGCUUCAUUUCCUGAAUGGUUUUCUUCUGCCAUGCGGGAUAUGCCGGAGAGGUGAUUGGUUGGUAAUUUUCUGCUGGCAUUACUUAAUUUUAGUUAUAUUUUAAUGUCUUUGAAUGAGAUGUCAUUCAUUCAUUUGCUAAGCAUUUAUGCUUUUCUUAUUUGUAUUCUUUGAUUUCCUCUGCUAUUUAAUCUUGGUUCUUAUUCUAUUAACGUGUGUUCAUUCGUUUGUUUCUUAAAAUAUGUACCUCUUUGAUUUAUACGUGAGCUCCAUUUUAUUCGGCGUUGUUUGAAUAAAAUAUCAAGACUAACUUUACAAUAUUUAAAAUUCUCUUAAAAAUUCCUGUGGAUUCUAGCCUCAGAAUUGUUGUCUAAAAUUUCAAUGUGAGAUGUUUUUUCAGUUUCAACAUGCAAAUCUCUUAUUUUCAGAAUGUACUUGAUGAAUUUGGUUUCUAAAAUUUUUUAACUUGAGAAAGAUUUAUAUCAAGUUCUUCUAUUUUACUGCAUACUUGAUUUAACCUAUGAGGAGUGGGAAGAAAAAUAACAAAAAAGAAAAUAAAGACCCUUCAAGUUGUAGCUCUGCAAUUAACAAAAUCGGGUUAUUUUAAGGGAACUUUGUUUUACUUGUUGUACCAAUUUUUGUAGUUUGAAGGUAUCAAUUGUAGAUGCCACAAUUAGGUCAAUUAUGUAGAUGCCACAGAAAAUGUGAUCUUGCCUUUUGGCAGUUUUGAGCUUUGAUCACAAUAAUACAGUCUUUCAUGCUUUGUUCUAUAACGUAAGAAUUUGCCGAGUGAAGAGGCAGCUACUGCUUUGUAGCCACUAAUUUUGAUUGAGUCAAUGCUUUUCACGGGAAUAUAUGCAGAUUAUUAUUAUUAUUAUUAUUAUUAUUAUUAUUAUUAUUAUUAUUAUUAUUAUUAUUAUUAUUAUUAUUAUUAUUAUUAUUAUUAUUAUUAUUAUUAUUAUUAUUAUUAUUAUUAUUAUUAUUAUUAUUAUUAUUAUUAUUAUUAUUAUUAUUAUUAUUAUAUGGAAUGCUGAUCACCUUUUAAGGUCUUUAAAUUUGAUGGACGUAAGAGGUUAUGUAAGUGGUCAAACCAUAAGGAGAAUGGAAUUGAUUAUUAAAUAGUUUCUGAGGAGGCCUGAUAUUAAGUGCUUACGAUCACAAUAAAAACAAAUUUUGUCAGCUUAAUAUCCUCAAACUUUUAGAGACUACAAGUGUUUGAUUGGUUCAUCAAUGCUUACGAAAUGAGCUAACAUUUGCUUUAUUCCUGAUCAUUUUUCCAUUAUUUUAGGAAAUCCUUCAACUAUGUGAUAAUAGGUGCGUGCUUUUUGAUAACAAGACCAAGGAUGAGGCCAAGAGAACUGAGCAGGUUGAGAAGCUUCUUUCUCUGGUUAACUCUGUGAUCGAGCAUAAUGGUGGGCAGCCAUAUACGGACGAGCUCCUUGCUGAGUUGAAGGUGACUUCGUUACUGUCGCGAUUGACUUCUGUGCUGCUUCUUUCUGAAUAUGUCAUGACAAUAUCUCUUUUUCUUUUUUUUUUCUACUCAGAGAGGGGCUACUGAACUCCGUGAUCAACAAGCUGACGUUGAUUCUCUCAAGGAAUAUUCAAAACAAGAAAUUUCAAAGCUAAUGGGCCAGAUGCAGGAAUCAUAUGAAGAUCAAAUCAAACGAAUUACUGAGAUGGUAUUUUUUAUACUCCUUGUUUUGGCAUCAAAAUAUGACAUGCAUAUGUGUUCAUCUCUCAGAUCGGGUAAUCAUUUCUAAAACUGUGUAAUUAAAAAAAUGCCUACAAAGCGUGCAGGUACCUGUAAUGAUAUUCUAAAUUGUUAGAUUUGGAGGUGAUAAAGACUGCCGCUCUGUCCUUACCCCUAGAUUGCUGGAGAUUGCCAUCUGAAAAGAGGCUUUAUCUUGCUAGUUGAUGUGGACCUAUCUGUUAUUAUCUGUUCACUGAUUGCGUUUUGAAGGCUGUAACAUGCUGUUCUUAACUUGAACAUUGUUUGACCGUCCUGCUCUGUUUUGUUUGUUGAUGAAAUUAAGUGGGUUAUUCUAUGGUAGUAGCUAUAGGUGGUUUACUUAUCAUGACUUGCACUUAGGAAUGGAUUCUGCACUUGUUUAGUCAUCAAUCAUGAGAAUAUUUCUUGUAAAACUGUGGAUACUGUUUUCUUGCCUGAAUCUGUGGGAACAAUUGAGAUUAUGACAUAUUCUAAUUUCGUUAAAAACAAAAUAGCCACAUUCAAAAUAAGUUUUCAUGAAAAUAUAGUUAGGCACGUGGAACCUAAUGAAAUGGCUGCAUAGUUUUGAUUUUCCUUUCCACAGUUUUAAUUUAUAGCAAGGCAAUACAAUGAUUCGGAAUUAAGCCAGAUCCUAUUCAACAAGAAUCUGAAUUUGCUGGAACAUUCUGUGUAAUGACUAUAUGUCUGAGGUGCUAAUAAGUUUUAGUCUUCACAUUCCUGGAGUAUGGAAAAAUUAAAAAGUUAGUAGAUUCUUUAAUACUUUAUAUUUUGAAUUUAUGUGUUGAUUUUUUAAAGCUUUUGUUUCUACCAUUUAUCAAUGAUUGAGAGUCUGGAAUUGAUUGAAGUAAGAAUGUUUCGCCGAGUAUGGUGAACUUAGCAACUCCCUUUGCAAUUGGAUUAAACUAAAUUAAUACUCAAGAAUUUGCUUCUCUUAAGUUGGAGUUUUAUAAUACCAAUAACCAUUUUUUUUUUUUGUAUCAUGCUGCUACUCUAGGGCUUAGUAGCAUGUUUUCUGACUGAUAUUGAUGCUUUUUUGAUAGGUUGAGUCUGAGCUCAAAGAGACAACAACUAGGCUCGAACAGCAAUUGGCAGAGGAGCAAGCAGCUCGGUUAAGGGCAGAAGAGGUUGCACAAUUAGCUCAAAUGAAGUCGAUGAAAUUCAAGCUGGGAGUGCUGAGAAGGAGACUGCGGAGCGCCCUAAGAAACCUUAUAAUGGGGAUUGUGCCAGUUUUUGACCUAGUCACCUGCAGGCACAAUGUGCCAUCGGCGUGAAAAUCACCUAAAGUAUAUUUUCUUAUUGUGCCAUUCUUUGACCUAGUCACCUGCAGGCACAAUGGAAAAACCGUAUUGACAUCAAAUGAAGUUUCUUUUAUGGAGCCAUCUAGAAUCUUUUCUUACAUGGUGGAUUCAAAGAGAUCUGAUUCCUUUUCUCCUCAUUGAGCUCUUAACGAACGCUGUAUUGUGUCCACAUUUGUAGCAGAUACAACCCAAAAUGUGCCCUUCUAAUAAUCAUGACUUUCCCAAAAAUUCAAACAGACUAACAGAGCAAACCUAACAUCCAAGAGACUUGCAAUAAAACCACCAAGCCUAUGACCCUUCUUUGAUUCACACCAUACUUCAACUAGCUCAUGGUCUAGGUUUAUCAAGUACAAUAUUUAUUAUGAAUGUAUGACACAAUAUUUAUUUACCUUGUACAUAAUGCAAACCCAUCGACAUCAUACAGCAUCAGUUAAAUAGAUAUUAAGUUUCAGCUUGAUAACUGGUCUCCCGAGAAGAAGAUGCCAAUGAUAAGUCAGAGUAAGUAAUUAGGUUACACAUAAACUUAUCCGGUUUCAUAUAUUGCAGGUUUCAAAAAUAGGAGUCCAGUAGCACACACAUUCAGUAGAUAAUGAUAGGCUGAUCGUAGAUCUCGCAGUACGAGAUGCCACAAGCUUGAUCGCCAGCAUCUAGCUUACCUGCAAACGGGAGAAAACAUUGAUGCAUGCGCAACACGGUUUCGCAGAAAUGAAAUGUGAUGGGAGAAUUACUUACGCGAGAUGGAGUAUCUUAUUGUCUGGGUGAGAGUAGGCAGUGCCGCCACCCUCGAUGAUAUCAGGACUGAAGAAAUUCCGAGAAGCUAAUGCAUGGAUUGCAUUCAGCUCUUGCCCAGUCACCGUGUUUGCUUGCUGAAACCUCUCCAUUUCUGCUAUCUGAGUUUCAGAAACAAUGAAAUUUGAAUAACGUGCUGAAAUUUUGGAAGAGGGAGAGAAAAAAUGCAUUAUACAUACAACGGACUGAUUUGCAUACCUUUGAUCGGAGACACACGCUUUCAUUUUCCAGCUCAAUCUCCUAUGAAAAUGAAAAUGUUAAAGAGUUCCAUAAAAGCUUUGAAGAAAACGAAAAAAAGGCUAACCAGGAUUUAAUGAAUUUUAAUUAUUACCCUUUCUGCAAGAACUCAAUUUCAGCUAGAGGCAUUUCAUGCUGUUGCACAAAACAGGAAACGCACAAAGCAACAAAUUAUUUUCAAAAUGACAUAAAUUACAUAUAUUGAAUGUAUAUAAAUAAAGUUUAUGCAACGUAUUGUUGCAAAACAAUGGUGUAUUGCUCAAAUUCAAUUAUUUUUGUAUGCAUAAUGAAAUUAAUUAAUUACCUUCUUGGACCUGAUCCUCGUGAUGCCUCACUCAAGCCUGUUCUCCAGUUGCUUAAGCUCCUUUACACUUAAAGAACUCAAAGAAUCACGCAUCAAAUGCCAAUAUGAAGAGUCAAGAGUGAGAUAACCAAUUGAAAGUUCAAUUGAAAUUGUAUAUUUUGGCAUAAUUAAUUGACUAUGCUUAAUAUGAAAAUGAUUGUUGAUGAAAUAAUUGUAAAUACCAGUUAGAAUUCUGUAACAUUUGAAUUUGCUACCGCAGCUUCACUGAUUCCUGCUGAUAGUACCGUUUUCAUGGGUCAAAUAUAAUGGGAAAAGUUAAUUUUUUAUUAGGAACUUUAUAUUUCAAUGCUAGCUAUGUGGUAACAAAUGGUAACACUACUAGAAAAAUGGUCUUUACUGACUUUAGAAUAGUGUCAGAAAUUACUUUCACUGACACUUGUUAAUUAUGUCAGUAAUCUGGGAGUUAGAAAAAUAGUAACACUUGUAAGUGGUGUCAGUGAUUACUAUUACUACAGUAUCACCGAUAUUAUGACACCAUAAUGUUAGUAGUUAUUGAUAUUUUAUUAGUGUCUAUGAUUACUGUUACCAUGGUAUCACUAGUUAAUUUAUUUUUUAAAAAAUAAAAAAUUAAAUUGGAUCAUUGCCUAUUGAUUUAUUUGUAAAAUUAAAAGCACCACAAAAUAACAAAAAUAAAUUGAUUUAUAUCACAAAAUCUUUCAUUUCACAUUUAAAUAUUAUUAGUAUAUAUUACAAAUUGAACUUCAAUAGCCAAAAUAUGACAUAUCCUACUCUCAUAACUAAAUAAUCCAAAUUCAAUACAUAAAAAUUUUUAACAUCCAAUCAAAUGCGUACUACUUGUGGCUAAAUUUAAUAAAUCUAGAAGUUAAAUUGAGAAUGAUGACUAUCUUUCACACUUUGAAUAUGAGUAGUAUAAUUGCGUUAUCACACCAGCAGCUUCUCCAUUCAAUAGACUGAAUGGGUUAUGAUACAAGUGAAGUUGAGGAAUAAACACUUCAAACACAUUGAGCAAAUCUGCAUACAUCGAAAAGGGAGAAAAAAUUAGCUGCCAAUUCCCAACCAUUAGAGAAACAAUGGUUAGUAUAAAUAAAUCUAUUUUGUUCUAAAGAAAAAAUAUUCAUACACUAUUUAUAAGUAAACUCAAUUAUUUCAAAGAAAAAUUAGUGAACAAGGAAGUUGUAGUUUAUUUCCUUAAAAAUACCAAAGAAAUACAGUUUAUUCAACUACAGAUAUAAAUAAGAAAAAAGGGAGUCAAUGAUUAUUCUCUUUUGGUAAGGUUAUUUAUAAUAAGUUAAUGACUCUAAAUAGAGUAAGAACGAUAACUAGGUAAAAAUACAAUUACUUGUUGAAAAUUAGUCACUAGAUUCCCAGUAACUACAUCAUAAUGUUGAGCAAUUAAUUACUAAGGCAUCAGCCAAGUAGUUAGUGUAGGGGGACUGACUUCAUUCAUUCCCUUAAAGAAAUCCAAUAACCUUGCUACCUCCUUAUUUAUAUGCAUACUUCCAAUGUUUAAUUAUUUUGCUAUAGAGAAAGAAAGUUAAUAGAAAUGACAAACUGAUAGCGUUUCUGCAAUUUUCAGAUAAUCACACAGAGCAUUUCUUUUAUAAAUUAACCGUCUACUUGAUCGUAGCAGAGAAAAAAACACAAUAAAAGCUAAAUCUUUACCUUCUUGUUUCUUCCAAGUAGCCAAAGAAACAUAGAAGCUCUUCUCCAAGUCACUUAUUUAAACCUAAAAGAACAAUUAAAACAAAAAAAAAUCAAGAUCUAAUGACAAUAAGAGAGACCCGAAAUCAUAAAAUAAGAAAAGAAACAAGAAGUUAGGAUUUUGAAGGCAAAUGGUGAACCUGUGCCACCGGUUUGACAGGAUCAUGGCUGAGCACUUUUUGACAAUAUAUGUAUAUUUUUUUGGUAGGCAGCUAGUGCUAACCGCCUACUCAACAUUUAUAAUUCAGAGCAAGUUAUUCCAUCCUAGGCAACCACAGAAGCUCCAUCACAAAUAUUCCCCAAGUCUUUCAAGGAUCCAGAAACUAAAAUUACUUUUGGAACUCAAGAAGAGUGUGAAAAUAAUCGAAAUAAAAAGCUCUCAAGUGUGGAAAACUAGCAGAGAAACCAAGUUGCUUAAACUCUUGUUCAGUCCUGUGUUUACCUUUGGCCUUGUAGAUGGUCAUAACAAAAUGUCCCCUUCUAAGAGAGCACGAGUCCUCUGACUUUCGUUUGAAUCAUCAGGCAGCACAGGCUCGCAAGCAAUCAGUUUUCCUCCUGCCGGAAGAGCCUUGUAACAGUUCUCCAUUAUCAGCUUGCAUUCAUCAUCAGUCCAUGGAGUUAAAACCCACUGAAAAGAAAAGAGGCAAAUCAACCAAUUUUUUUUUUUUUUUUGCGUAUGUUAACAUUAGAAGCAUAAAAUCAAAAGAAAAGUAUAAAAGUAUGAAAGUAUAGUCUGUCAAGAAUGAUUUAUUUUGACAUUGGAAAAACAAAAUGAUAUUUAUCAGGAGGUGAAACAACUUAUAAAAAUACUCUAGCAUAUAACUUGAAACUUCACUAUGAUAGUUAUCAAUUUGAUUAGUUUCUCAAUUUGCAUUUUGUUCUUCCAGAUAAUGGUCAAAGGGUAGUGGAUUAACACGGAGACAACUAUUAACCAUGAUCUCCAUUUACAUGGUUAACACUAUUCAAAAUACACAACUAAGGGACAAGAUAUAUAUAACCUGCAAUUUAAUCCUCACCUAAUGGCUAAUAUUUUCUCAUCAGUAUAAUAGACUGAAAUGAAACCUAUCAUGUGUUCAACUAAUUUAAUUUGCAUCAAUCAAAACAACUUCUUUUUCUCCAGCUUUCUGUCUCCCCCGACACAUUCUAAAGUAAAUGAAGGCAGUAAAUAGGUGUUGUGGCAAAUAAUCCCAAACCUUCCAAAGUAAUGACCAUUGUUAGAUGACCAGCUCUGACAAUCGACGAUAUAUAGUAUAUUCCACAAGAAACUACUAGUUGUUAAGGAGAAAUUUUUAACUCAAACAGAGUUGUACAGCUAUGUGACUAGUGAGAGAGAGAAAGAAAGAAAGAAAGAAAGAGAAAUAAGCCAAACAUAUAAACAAGAAAUUUCAUAAUAGCUAAAAUCAUUUGCAGCAUGUAGGAUACAUAAUAGCUCAUAGCCUUCACUCUUACCUAAUCAAGGCCAACACCAUGAAUCUCCAUCAUUAUGAAAACAUAAAUCUCUAAUUUCACAUAGUCAAAGAAAAGAAAUAAAAUGUGAACUCAAAAGAACUCACCAGUGAUACUAUCUAGAAUAGUUAUAAACAUAUUACAAUAUAUCAACUGGAAAAAUAUUUUUCUGUAUAAAAAGCAUCUUCUAUAUAGCAAGGACAAUGCGUAUAUAAAAUGAUCCAACAAAUUGCACAAAAGUAUAGAAGUUUGGAAGAGUCCUUAUCAGGAUACAAGAAUCAGCAAUUACAUACCUCGAGCCCCUCAUCUUGCUCCCAAGCAAGGCCGGGACCAUUAUACAUAUUCUUGAUGAGCAGAGUUCACAAUUUAUCAGGGUAAAAAUGAACUCUGCUGCAUCUCUGACCAAACCGACAAGCUCCAGUCUUCAAAUGGAAAGGACAAUGAGCUUUAUCCUGCCAUAUAUAAUAAAAACAUGAUUGACCAUGAUAAACAUGCAAAUAUAAUAGAAAUGAAAUAUAAUACAGUAAUUGCAAAUUGAAAAUUUCAGAUAGAUAGAUUGAAAGAAAAGGCAUGCCUGUUCAGUUCCAAAAUUGGGCACUUGUUGAGCAACAGUCUCCAACGCCUGUUGUGCAUUCUGGUGAUCAGAAAAGGCUUCUGAUUGUCUGGGCAGAGGAUUUGAUGUAGGCUUAUCAACAUCUGUAAAGGAAGUAAUAACGUAGAAAGUUUAAUUUUUUCCAUAACCGAAGAGAAUGGGCAUCUUGAAGUAAAGUAGAAACAAGCCUAACAUAGCUGUCAAUAGAGUCAAAAUUACCUCUUUUUUACUUAGUGGGUUCGCAUCAUUCUUCGGAACUCUGACCUUUUUCUUCCUGAUAAUAAUCUCAUUUCCUUGCCAUAUAAUUUCUGCAGGCCCUUCUUCAACAUAUUCCCAAUCAUCAUCCUCAUCACAUUCAUUCUCCUUUCGCCUCUAAAUUCGCGAUGCUUCGAGAACACGCCAUAGUUGCUGAGCAAGCGGAGGAUACGUUGCAAGUUCUCGGCGUCCCCAUCGCCGGAUGGGAGGAUACGUGUCAAGAUCUGGGAGGCGGAGAGAGGGGUGUUGGCCCCACCUUGCCAGAUAGCAUCCGGUAUGUGGAGACGGAUGGCAGCGGUUAGAGACAUGGGAACACUUAUCAUGUUGGCCAGAUCCAUUAUGGCCAGUCUUACCUUCUUCCCGCCAUCUCUGCACUCGUUAUCUUCUAUUACUGCUUACUGACCUUUGAUUUCGCAGCACCAUGCCGGCCAAACAAAAAGAUAAGACCUGAGCACUUUUUGACAAUUUGGAUGUUAGGGAUUUUUCAGAUCUGGGGAGCUUAGGAGGGAAUGAAUACUUUGGUAGAGGGAGUUGAAAAGUUGUAUUUUGGAUAAGACAAGACUUGUCCAUUUGUUUUGUUUUUAUCCACUAAAAAAGCACAACUCUAAAAAAAAUUAAAAAUAAUUCGUAGCCUAGUGGCCUUUUGAUUCAAUGUAGAAGCUCUAGGUUUAAGAGGUCUUGGGUUCGAAUUCAGACUAAAACAAAAUUAAAAUGAUAAUUUUUAAUUGCUGAUACAUAAACGUCAGUGACCGCUAUUAUUAAAGCUAUUGAUACUUCAGUAUUAGUAAUUAGUGAUACAUAUUUGUUAAAUGCGGAAAAUGAUCCAAAUAUAUGUAUAUACUGACACUUUUAAAUAAAGUGUCAGACCACAAGUAUCGGUAAAGACUAUUUUUCUAAUAGUGUAAUUAGUUGGUUUUUUCUUUUUUUUUUCUUUUUUUUCACCUUUUCAUAAUAAUAUAUGUUCCUAGCAAAGCCUGAAUUUAUAGUUUAAAUUAAUGAAUUACUUACCUGAGCAUUGAUCUCAGUAACAGUGCCAGAAUUUAUUAAUUUUGUAGCUUAAAUUGCAUACAUUUAUGCACACACACACUAAGAACAACAUGUUAUAUUCAUCAAUUCAUCUCAAAAUAACUAACUAACCAGAUAGCUCAGCUUCUUUUCUUUCCAACUGAAUUUCUGCACUUGGUAGAUUCUCAGCAAGUUUAGCAAUAACCUUUAGGAACUCCAAAUAAUCCGGGUCUUUAUUAUCCACAUCAAAACCAAAUAUGACUUAUUAUUGCAAUACUUUUUUUUUUAACUGAUUAAGCAUCAGGUUACUGUAUUACACAGAGAUAUAUACAACUGCUAUGACUGCAGGUCAUUACACUGAUAUUUACAAUCAGAUAUAUAUAUAUGGGACUUACAUUAUUACAUUUUUAGUCUAUGAAGCACAUGCCCAACCAAAUACCCCUUACGGAGGAGGGAUGUCUCUACUCCACUCGCAUUUCGCAAGGGAGAAAGACAUUAUAAGUAGUCUCCACACAAUUAUAUUUAAUUGAAGGAGGUUGAGUCUGUAGGGACUCGAACCAUUGCCCUCAUAGUCAUGUUUAACUUUGAGGGCAAUGGUUCACCACUGGGCUACAAGCCCAAGUGGCAUUACUGCAGUACUUCUAAAAAUAAUAAGAAGAUAAAGAAAACAAAGGUAUUCUUGUAAUUGCUGUGCUUUUACUUAACUUUGAUAUUUAGCAGCUUAAGUGUACAGUAAAAGCCACAGUACUUCAACCCCAAAAGUGCCCUAAGUUUUUUUUUUUAAAUAAAAAGAAUCACUAUAACAUAUGCACUUUAAUUUUCCUAAUUAAGUGUAUUAUUUAAUUUUUUCCCUUCGAUAUUAAUUUUAAAUUUGUCAUGACAUAAAAUUGAGACAAUUCAAACACGAUUCAAUGGCCGUGUAGUUGGAUUUUAUUUCAACACGUGUCCAGCAUUAGCUUAAUUAGUAGUAAUCUUUAAAAAAAAUUAAUUUCUAUAAAUGGAAGGGAGGGAACUAAUUUUCAAAAGAGAAAAGAGAGAGGGGCACGCGAGAGAGAAGGAGAGAGAGAGAGAGAGAAAUUGACCCGUUUAGCCCGACUCGACCCACGAGACCAACCCGGGUCCAACUCUCGUUUCCAGCCACCGUUCCGGUCAAGCUUGGUACUGAUCUGAAGCUUGAGUGACGCCGGUCAAAUCCCCGCUGUCAUCGUCACUGGAAAACAGCCAGAACGCCGGUGAUUGAAGCUUGAAAGACCGCGGCUCAAUCCAUUUUCGUCGCCGUCAAUCUCGCCAGAAUUAGGUUGCACCACCGGCUGCUUUCGAUUCCUAUCACCAGCUUUUAUUUCCGACCAACCUCGCCACCUGAAACUUCCGUUUUGGCUGUGAACGACCGCUAGAAAGCUCACAGCUUUGGGAGCACGAUUCGCCGCCAUUGCCGCACGUGGAAGGUCACCGCCAGCACCAUUGGACUCAUCGAGAUCAGAACUAUCAGACUUGAGCUUCCCGUCACCGUUAGCUGAAUUCCGGUCACCGUUGACCGGUGGGGGCAUUUCGGUAAUUUCACAAGACUUUAGGGGGAAUUUGUAAUUUGUGGAAUCGGUGGAUAAUUUGGUAAUUUUAGGUUAGGGCAGUGAGGUAAUUUGAGACUUCAAGGGUAAUUCGAUAAUUUAAAUUAUUAACGACAUUAUGGUAAUUUCGCACUUUGAGGGUAAUUUCGUAAAUUCAAAACUUGUGAUUAAUUUUGUUAUCUGAAUUGAGGACAAUUUGGUAAUUUAAGAUGUUAAGGAUGAUUCGAUAAAUUAUGAUUUCGAUGGUAAUUCGGUAAAUUUUGGUGUCAAGGGCAUUUUGGUAAUUUUUGGACAUAAGGAUAAUUUUGAAAUUUUAUGUAUCCGGGAGUUUGAUUUUGAGCUUUAUUACGUACUGUUAGUCGUACUUCAUGAUACAAAUAAUAAUUAUGUCGUUUAUUUAAUUAGGAGGACCCACGAGCGAGAAUCAACCCGCGGACGUUUAUAGUACCGAGUCUGGAUAUCGUCACUGUGAGUGGAAUAUACAAAAUUUAUUUUCAUAGUAUAUUCUAAUUUUACCAUACAGUACAACAUAUUUUGAUAAUAAGUAUUUGAUGCUUCGAUUUAAUGAUUUUCUAGAAAAUUAAAAUUUAUUCUACGUGCUGAUAUUUAUUAUUAUUAAAAAUGAGUUUGAUUAAUGAUUUUAUUAUCAUUUUUUGAGAAAAUGCAUAAUAUUAGAAUUGAGUGGAUUUGAGAUAUAUUGAAUAAAAAGGAAAUGAGAUUUCAAAUGUGAUUACAUGUUUAUGUACAUGUGUAUAAAAGGUUGUUUGGAAAAUCAUUGGACAGUACCCUUCCCCUUCAGAUACAGAGAUACAUAUAAUAUGAGAUGAAUACAGUGAUAUAGAUGAUAUGAGAUGAGAGGCCUUUGGGGUCGUCUGAACACACAUAAAGGCUUUGGGCCGUGUGUUUGGGCGCUUUUGCCUUUUGGGGGCUUAUGCAUGCAGUAUGAUGAUUACAAAGAUACAUAUGUUGAGAUAUAUGAGAUAUGAGAUGACAUUUUCUAGUCUAUCCAUUGUAGCUCCGGUAUGAUGGUUCCUUGAUUGCCCGUCCGUCGAGGUCCGGAUAUGAUGAGAUUAUUCCCCUAGGUACUUGUUUGGUGAUAGUUUUUGGUAUUAAGUAUUUGAUAUUAUAAGUAUUAUGAUUUCAUUGAUUUUAUGCAGAUUUAUGUAAUACUGUUAUUUCAGUGCAUGAUUUGAAUUAAAUAAGUUUAUGUAAGUUCUUAUGAUAUUUUGAUGAAAUUAAUUUGGAAAAGAUUAAAUCAUUUUAAAUAAAUUUAUUUUUUCAAAAACUAUUAUCCACUCACUGAGCUUACUGAGUUUUAUACUCACUCCAUUUUUAUUAUAUUCCCCCUCCCCCCACAGGAGAUUUGCAGGUACAUCAGUGACCCAGUAAUGAUAGUUAGAUUGAAAUUAUGGCCACGUGAUGAUGUUAGGAAUCAUAGAUGUUUUGUUGAGACAUUUUGAAUUGGAUAAUUUAUUACUUAUUUGUGAUUAAGGAUAAACUAUUGUAUUCUUAACAUUAUAUGUUUGAAGGAUACUGGUAUUUAAAUUGAGGAAGUUGGUUGUGGAGGUUGAUUAAAUAUUGUAUUAUUUUUUGGGAGUGUUUAUUGUAUAAAUUGCAGAUUUGGGGAUGUCAUAAUUAUAUAGGAGACUUUGUCGCAUUUUUGGUAGAAUUCUUAGAUAUCAGAAUUAUUAUUAAUUUGAUCAAUUGAGAUUAGAUAGACUCGUCUUGGAAAUUCGAGGCGGAUCGUUUCAAUUACCUUUAAAAAUGGUGCCUUCACGACUACCCUUUCUAGAACAAGGCUUGGGAACAUGUUGAGAUGGAGCAUAUUCAACAAUAGCCUUAAACUGAGCCCCUAAUCAAGAACCCAAUAACACAUAGAAUUAACCAAACAGAAAGUGCCCUUUUCAUUUGAAACAACAUAAACACAUUCAUACCAAAUUAAGAUUGAUAAGUAAAAGCAAAAGGGUUAGCAAAAUUACCCUUUUUCAUUAACAAACACAUGUCCAUUCAACAACUUAGCAAACUCAAACACAUCCUAAAUUUUCGGGCGAACGCGGAACCAAUUGUAACCGUCAUUGAAGUGAUCGUGGAAAAGGGCUAAAAGGUCAUUUUGAGAGAGGGAAAGAGACAAAUGACAAAUCACUACUUUGGUUCUCUACAAUGGCUCCGUCAUUUCAUUGCAUUCAAUUUGUUCCGACUGUAUUGAAUUCAAAAAAUUGAAAAAGAGUUUUGACUACUUUGUACCCUAAUUUUCAAUUUGGGUUGAGAAUGAAAUUGGAAUAUUGUUUAUUGGAAAGUUUUGGACACACAUAACCGUUGUGUUUUCCUUUGGAGAGGCCUUUGAGCACUAACAAGAUUCAUUUUUCGUUGCCCGGGACAAAGGGCAAUUGACAUUCCUCAUUUCCCUUAGUAUUUACUUAUGGGGAGUUUAGGCCAUCUCCAAUGUGACAUCAAAACUAACAGCAAAUCACCUUUUACAUUAUUUUUGGUGUACAAUGCUUCUCCAAUGUAACACCAAAACCAACACCAAAAUGAUGUUUGAAUAGUAUUGCACCAAAAAUGGUGCAAUACUAUUCAUUUGGUGCUAGGAAAAAAAGUCCCAAAUAUUAAGAUGAAAAUUUUAUAUUUCAAGCAGUUCUUUUUUCACUUACUGCUGUACGGCCAAGGCGGAUGUACGGUACAGCAGAUAAUAUUUUAAGUUAUUAUUAUUAUUUUUGUUAUUAUUUUUAUUUUAUUUUUAAUUUUUGAAUAUUAUACUAAUAUUUUAAAUAAAGAAAUAUUCAACAAAAAAAUUAAUAAUAAAAAUAAAAUUCCAAUAACAUUAAUUACUAGAUUACAUAUUACAAAGUUAAAAAUACAAAAUUAAAUUAACACAAAAUUAAAAAAGCUACUACUACCAGCAUAAAUUAGAACAAUUAUUUAAUAAUAUGGGAGAUCAUUAUUAGAUCUUCCAAUAUCAUCAAAAUAUUGGCCAAUAUUAUUGGAAAUAUUUUGAGAUGCUUGGCCUUGCGGAGACCUUCUCUGCAAAAUCUUAAUUUGUUCAUUUUGAAAAUAUUGACGUAAGCUCGAAUCACUUAUCGAAUUUAAAUCUUGAAGUAAAAUUUUGUUUUCUUCACGAUAUGUGACCAUCUCCAAUUUUUUUUCUCAUUUUGGGCUCGUAUCAUUUGAAUUUGAUAAUUUUGUUGCCUAUCUUCACUGCCUUUUUUGAGAAUUUCAUAUAGUCAUCGAUGGUCUUCUUUAAUAGUAUCAAUAACUAGUGAAUUUUGAUCUUCAACUUUCCUUUUUCCUUUUGCCUUCAGAAUGUCUCGAAGUUUAUUCAGUCGUAUUACUAAUGCCGUGCAAGGUCAUGACAACUAUUUUAUGUAGCGAAGGGAUGGCGUUGGCAGACUUGGGUUAUCUGGUCUUCAAAAUAUCACUGCCGUAUUUAGGAUGUUGGCAUAUGACAUGCUAGCAGAUGCUAUUGAUGAGUAUAUUAAAAUUGGAGAGUCUACAACAAUUGAAAGUUUGAAGAGGUUCUGUCGUGCAAUUGUGGAAGUUUUUGCAAAGCAACAUCUUAGAUCACCCAACGCUAAUGAGGUCGCCAGGCUACUCCAUGUUGGUAAAGAACGUGGUUUUCCAGGAAUGUUAGGUAGCCUAAAUUGCAUGCACUGGAAGUGGAAAAAUUGUCCAACAGCUUGGGCUGGACAAUAUGCUGGUCGUAGUGGAACCCCAACUAUUAUUUUGGAGGCUGUAGCUAAUUAUGAUCUUUGGAUAUGGCAUGCACAUUUUGGUUUGCCUGGUUCAAAUAAUGAUAUUAAUGUGUUGGAGGCAUCCUAUCUUUUUGCCAACCUCGCUUCAGGUAUUGCUCUUCCUGCUCAUUAUGUUAUUAAAGGGAACGAAUAUAAUAUGAGUUAUUAUUUAGCUGAUGGUUUCUACCCAAAAUGGUCUACUCUUGUACAAACUAUCAAUGAUCCAUGUGGUCAUAAAAAAACAUUAUUUGCCAUGAAACAAGAAGCAUGUCAGAAAGAUGUAGAACGUGCAUUUGAAGUCCUUCAAUCACGUUUUGCAAUUGUUGCUGGACCAUCACGCUUUUGGAACAAACAUGUGUUACAUGAUAUAAUGAUUGCUUGCAUUAUUAUGCACAAUAUGAUAAUUGAAGAUGAACGUAAUGUUAAUGCAACAAUUAAUGAUUGGAUGUAAGCACCAAUACCAACAAUUGAUAUGAGGGUAGAUGAGAGUACUAGAUUUCAAGAAUUUAUUGCUCGACACAAAAAAAUCAAGGAUAAAGAGGCUCACCUUAUACUCCGAAAUGCACUAAUUAAUCAUUUAUGUGAUGAAUUUAGUAAUUCGAAUAACUAGAGUAUUAUUAUUGUUAUCGUAUUUUUUUAUAUUAAUGUAAUGUUUAAUUUUCAUAAUGCACUAAUUUAGUUAAUUAAAGGCAAAUUUAAUAAUUUUCUAUUUUUUUUGUUAAUCGAUAUAAAAUUACUUAAUACUUAAUCUAUAUUAAUAGUAAUAUUUAGUGUGUUAAUUGAAUUAAUUCUUGAGAAUUAAAAGAAGAAAAAGAAGAAUAUUCUUUUUGGUAUAAAAUUUGGUGCAAAUGGGUUGGAGAUGAAAUAGUAAUUUGGUGUGAAAAAAGUAAAUUUUUGGUGUUGGUGUUACACCAAAAUGGUGUUAAAGCAUUGGAGAUGCCCUUAGGGGCCUUGACGUAUAAAAUGACCAAGAAGCCCCUAUGUAGUAUGAAUAUGCUGAUUUAAUAAAGAAAGAUGAUCAAUAAUAUUAAUAAUGGGAAAUUGUAAGCUCUCCUUUAUACAAAUCAAUAUAUAUUAAUUACUUUAGUAUUGCUUUUGUAAUGCACACUAGUUUUUUAUUAGUAUAAUUUUAUAGAAUAAUUUUUAUUUUUAAAUAAAUUUUUAUUCAUAAUUAUCAUAAAUUUAAUUUUUUAUUAGUAUAAUUUUUAUUUUUAAAUAAACUUUUAUUCAUAAUUAUUAUAAAUGAAAUGAAUUUUUUAUAUUAUAAAACUAGUAAUAAAUAAGUGAUAUAUAUUAGUUCUAAUAGAAAAAAAAUUAACAACUUCCUUAAUAAUAAAAGUGACGAAAUAAUGAAAGGCAAAAGCAAACUCUUUUAGAUUCUUUUCUACAUCUCAACUUUCUAUUGAAAAAAGUAAAUUUUUGGUGUUGGUGUUACACCAAAAUGGUGUUAAAGCAUUGGAGAUGCCCUUAGGGGCCUUGACGUAUAAAAUGACCAAAAAGCCCCUAUGUAGUAUGAAUAUGCUGAUUUAAUAAAGAAAGAUUAUCAAUAAUAUUAAUAAUGGGAAAUUGUAAGCUUUCCUUUAUUCAAAUAAAUAUAUAUUAAUUACUUUAGUAUUACCUUUAUAAUGCACAAUAAUUUUUUAUUAGUAUAAUUUUUAUUUUUAAAUAAACUUUUAUUCAUAAUUAUUAUAAAUGAAAUGAAUUUUUUAUAUUAUAAAACUAGUAAUAAAUAAGUGAUAUAUAUUAGUUCUAAUAGAAAAAAUAUUAACAACUUCCUUAAUAAUAAAAGUGAUGAAAUAAUGAAAGGCAAAAGAGGGAAAUUGCAUGUUCAUUCCUCUUUUAGAUUCUUUUCUUCUCAACUUUCUAUUUAAACUCUUUUAUAUUCUUUACUUCUCAACUUUCUAUUUAAACUCUCUUAUAUUCUUUUCUUCAAACUCUUUUAGAUUCUUUUCUACAUUUCAACUUUCUAUUUAAACUCUCUUAUAUUCUUUUCUUCAAACUCUUUUAGAUUCUUUUCUACAUUUCAACUUUCUAUUUAAACUCUCUUAUAUUCUUUUCUUCAAACUCUUUAGAUUCUUUUCUACAUCUCAACUUUCUAUUGAAACUCUCUUACAUCUUUUAUUUCUUAACUUUCUAUUUAAACUCUCUUACAUCCUUUACUUCUCAACUUCCUAUUACAUUCAUUACUCAAUUUAUAAAUUUCAUACCUUAAAUCCUAAAAUUUAAAUCAAGUCUCUUCCCCUUUCUCAUCUCUUCAUACGCAAUGCAAUCUUUUUUGUUCUCCUCUCUUUGCAAGUAAGUAAAAUCUUAGUUCAUCGCAUCAUCUCACAGUUUGUUUUCAUACUUUGCUUUCUUCAAAUUGCCCUCGCAUUUUCCUCUCAAUCUCAAUUUCUGGUUUUUUUGUUUGUUGUAGACUCGAUUUUCUUUACCUCGGUUUGUAAAUUUUAUCGGAUGUAAUGCAUAAUCAUGGGCGACCCAAUUAAUGCCCAGGAGGGGCUUCAGCCCCUUUUAGGCCAUUAAUUUUUCUUUUAAAUGUACCCCACGCCCUUUCUAAAAGAAUUAAAUAAAAAAAUUUGGACACAUAUUUUAUGUAACAAAAGACUUAUGGUUCAAUGAUAAGAGUGCUAUUUGAUGGUUUUAAAGUCCUGGUUUAAAUCCCAAUAGCCACAUUAUUUUGUUUCUUUUUAUAAAUAGUUUUUGAAAAUUACUUAGAAAAAUGAUACUUUUAUGCAUUUAAAAUAAAAAGUUUAUUACUAUUAUUAUUUAAAAUUUAAAAGAAAAUAAUGAAAUUUGAGUCUAUGAGAUUUAAAAUGUAUUCAUGUGAACAUUAAAAAAAAACCCCAAAUUAAAUAAAAUGUUUUGAACUAAUCCCCCUAAUUUAAGUAUCUGGGUCCGCCACUAUGCAUAAUUGAUCGUUGUCGUUUUUUUUUCAAUAAUUUCGUGAAACAUGCAUAAUUAAAUUAAAUUAUACAUCAGCAUAAUUAAUUAAUUAACUGAUGCUGUUUAGAUUCUGUGCUUGAUUAUAUAGCAAUUCAUCAUAUUUUAUUAUGAUUAUAAAUUUAACUAUAUGGUCGGGGUCUGAGUGAUUUUUAUUUUUAAUUUUUUUAAUGAAUUUAUUCAUGUUCCGUUGGAUAAUAUUUAAAGUAAUAUCAAAUAUAAGUUUUAAUGGAGUGAAAUUGUAUGGGAAUGGUAACUAAGUUUUCUUUCUUAUUCUUUAAUGAUAAAAAUUGAAUUCAAUGUGAAAGUGGUUUGAUAUUGUAAAUGCAUUGCAGGUAAAUUGAUUUUUUUUUUAGGAUGGGAGAAAGAGUGGUUGAUGGCGAUUGGAAGCCUACUUCUCCAUCUAAUGGGGAGCGCACUGUGGUUUUACUUGGCCGUACUGGCAAUGGCAAAAGUGCGACGGGCAAUAGUAUUCUCGGGAGAAAAGCCUUCAAGGCGAGUGCUGGCUCGUCUGGUGUUACUAAAACUUGUGAAAUGAAGACAACCGUGCUCAAAGAUGGCCAAGUUGUUAAUGUCAUUGAUACCCCCGGUAAUUUGCUAAUGUUGGUUCCUAGAUAUUCCAUUCCAUGCUUGUUGAUGUUGUGAUGGUAAGUAGAUUGAUGUUACGAGCCAUUGCAGGACUUUUUGAUUUGUCUGCUGGCUCUGAGUUUGUCGGCAAGGAAAUUGUCAAAUGUCUCGGUAUGGCCAAGGAUGGCAUCCAUGCAUUCCUUGUAGUUUUCUCUGUUACAAACCGUUUUUCUCAAGAGGAAGAAACUGCAGUACACCGUUUGCCGAACUUGUUCGGGAAAAAUGUUUUUGACUAUAUGAUUGUUGUUUUCACUGGAGGGGAUGAUCUUGAAGAUCAUGAGAAAACAUUAGAAGAUUUUUUGGGUCAUGAGUGUCCAAAGCCUUUAAAGGUUUGUUUCUGAACUCUUAUAGUGUUCGAUAAUUUCAUCAGUCAUUUUGAUCAAGUUGUCUUUGGCUGGUUCUUUUGUGAAGUUUUAGACUCCUUUACGGUUGGACUAUUGGAAGUUUAAUAUGAAUAUAUGCAUGCUGAAAAUACUAGAUAGCUUUAUAGUAGGCCAGCCGUCUUAAAGUUCCAUUUUCAAUGGUGCUUCAUUUCGUGAAUGGUUUUCUUCUGCCAUGCGGGAUUGGCCGGAGAGGUGAUUGGUAAUUUUCUGCUGGCGUUACUUAAUUUUACUUAUACGUUAUUGUCUUCGAAUGAGAUAUCAUUCAUUCAUUCGCUAAACAUUUUUGCUUUUCUUAUUUGUAUUCUUUGAUUUCCUCUGCGAUUUAAUCUUGGUUCUUAUUCUAUUAAGGUGUGUUCAUUUGUUUGUUUCUCAAAAUAUGUACCUCUUUGAUUUAUACGCUCAAAAUUAACCUACUUUUAAGAUUUUAAAAGUGGCCCAAAGAGGAUGUGACUUGCUAUACAGGUCCAUUUUAUUCGGCGUUAUUUGAAUAAAAUAUCAAGACUAACUUUACAAGAUUUAAAAUUCUCUUAAAAGUUCAUGUGGAUUCUAGGCUCAGAAUUGGUGUCUAAAAUUUCAAUGUGAGAUCUUUUUCAAGUUUCAACAUGCAAAUCUCUUAUUUUCAGAAUUUACUUGAUGAUUUUGGUUCCUAAAAUUUUUUAACUUGAGAAAGAUUUAUAUCAAGUUCUUCUAUUUUACUGCAUACUUGAUUCAACCUAUGAGGAGUGGGAAGAAAAAUAACAAAAAUGAAAAUAAAGACCCCUUUAAGUUGUAGCUUUGCAAUUAACAAAAUCCGGUUAUUUUACAGUUAAAGGGAACUUUGUUUUACUUAUUGUACUUAUUAUUAUUAUUAUUAUUCCUACUACUACUACUUAUGUUAUAUGGAAUGCUGAUCACCUUUUAAGAUUUUAAAAUUUGAUGGACGUAAGAGGUUAUGUAAGUGGUCAAACCAUAAGGAGAAUGGAAUUGAUUAUUAAAUAGUUUUUGAGGAUGCCUGAUAAUAAGUACUAACGAUCACAAUAAAAAAAAAUUUUGUCAGCUUAAUAUCCUCAAACUUUUAGAGACUACAAGUGUUUGAUUGGUUGAUCAAUGCUUACCGAAAGGAGCUAACAUUUGCUUUAUUCCUGAUCAUUUUCCAAUUAUUUUAGGAAAUCCUUCAACUAUGUGAUAAUAGGUGCGUGCUUUUUGAUAACAAGACCAAGGAUGAGGCCAAGGGAACCGAGCAGGUUCGGCAGCUUCUUUCUCUGGUUAACUCUGUGAUCGUGCAGAAUGGUGGGCAGCCAUAUACGGACGAGUUGAAGGUGACUUCAUUACUAUCGGGAUAGACUUCUGUGCUGCUUCUUUCUGAAUAUGUCAUGACAAUAUCUCUUUUUCUUUUUUUCUACUCAGAGAGGGGCCACUGAACUCCGUGAUCAAAAAGCUGAGGUUGAUUCUCUCAAGGAAUAUUCAAAACGAGAAAUUUCAAAGCUGAUGGGCCAGAUGCAGGAAUCAUAUGAAGAUCGAAUCAAACGAAUGGCUGAGAUGGUAUUUUUUAUGCUCCAUGUUUUGGCAUCAAAAUAUGACAUGCAUAUGUGUUCAUCUCUCAAAUCGGGUAAUCAUUUCUCAAACUGUGUAAUUAAAAAAUGACUAUAAAGCCUGCAGGUACCUGUAACGAUAUUCUAAAUUGUUAGACUUGGAGGUUGUAAAGACUGCCGCUCUGUCCGUACCCCUAGAUUGUUGGAGAUUGCCAUAUGAAAAGAGGCCUUAUCUUGCUAGUUGAUGUGGACAAAUCUGUUAUUAUUUGUUCACUCAUUAUGUUUUGAAGGCCGUAACAUGCUGUUCUUACCUUGAAGAUUGUUUGACGGUCCUGCUCUGUUUUUUGUUGAUGAAAUUAAGGUGGUUUACUAAUCAUGACUUACACUAAGGUGGAUUCUGCACUUGUUUAGUCAUCAAUCAUGAGAACAUUUCUUGUAAUACUGUGGGAACAAUUGAAAUGUUACGAGCAGGUUAUGUCAUAAUUUAAUUUUGUUAAAAAUAGAAUAGCCAUAUUCACAAUAAGUUUUUAUGAAAAUAUAGUUACGCACGUGAAACCUAAUCAAAUGGCUGCGUAGUUUUGAUUUUCCUUUCCACAGUUUUAAUUUAUUGCAAGGCAAUAGAAUGAUUCGGCAUUAAGCCAUAUCCUAUUCAACAAUAAUCUGGAUUUGCUGUAACAUUCUGUGUAAUGAUUAUAUGUCGGAGGUGCUAAUAAGUUUUAUUCUCGACAAUCCUGGAGUAUGGCAAAAUGAAAAAGUUAGCAGAUUCUUUAACACUUUUAUUUUGGAUUUAUGUGUUUAUUUUUUUAAGCUCUUGUUUCUACCAUUUAUCAAUGAUUGAGAGUGGAAUUGAUUGGUCAUAAAGUUGUGCCGAGUAUGGUGAACUUAGCAACUCGCUUUGCAAUUGAAUUAAACUAAAUUGAUACUUAAGAAUUUUUUUCUCUUAAGUUGGAGUUUUAUAUUACCAAUAUCCAAUUUUUUUGUAUUGUGCUGCUACUCUAGGGCUUAGUGGCAUGUUUUCUGACUAAUAUUGAUGCUUUUUUGAUAGGUUGAGUCUGGGCUCAAAGAGACAACAACUAGGCUCGAACAGCAAUUGGCAAAGGAGCAAGCUGCUCGAUUAAGGGCAGAAGAGGUAGCACAAUUAGCUGAAAUGAAGUUAAAAGACGAAAUUCAAUCUCGAAGUACUGAAAAGGAGACUGCGGAACCCCCUAAGCCAUCUGAAAAUCCUCCGCCGGAGCCCCCUAGGCCACCUGCAAGUCCUCCGCGGGAGCCCCCCAGGCCACCUGCAAGUCCUCCGCCGAAGCCCUCUAGCACAUCUGAUGGGUGGUGUGCCAUUAUGUAAAUGUUCGCAGUCCAGACGCUUAUAUCUUCUGUUAUGUAAAUGUUCACAGUCCAAUCUCGAGUGCGGUCUUAAGAUAGUACUACAUGAAAAAACGGUAUUGACAUCAAAUGAAGUUUCAUUUAUGGAGCCAUCUAGAAUCUUUUCUUACACGGUGGAUCCGAAGAGAUCUGAUUCCUUUUCUCCUCAUUGAGCUCUUAACGAACGCUAUAUUGUUUUCACAUUUGUAGCAGAUACUACCCAAAAUGUGCCCUUCUAACAAUCAUGACUUUCCCAAAAAUUCAAACCGACUAACAGAGUAAUCCUAAUAUCCGAAAGACUUGCUAUAAAACCACCAAGCCUUUGACCCUUCUCUGAUACGCACCAUAGUUCAACUAGCUCAUAAUGCAAAUCCUUCGACAUCACACAGCCUCAGUUUUGAAAGUUUUAUAGAUAUUAAGUUUCAGCAUAAUAACUGGUCUCCCAAAGAGAAGAUGCCAAUGAUAAGUCAGCCUAAGUAAUUAGGUUACACAUAAAUUCAUCCAAUUUCAUAUAUUGCUGGUUUCAAAAAUAGGUAUCAAGUAGCACACACAUUCAGUAGAUAAUGAUAUUCUGAUCGUAGAUCUCGUACUGAGAUGCCACAAGCUUGAUCUCUUGCAAACGGGAGAAAACAUUGAUGCACGCUCAACACGAGCUCAUAGAAAUGAAAUGUGAUGGGAGAAUUAAUUACCCGAGAUGGAGUAUCUUCUUGUCCGGAUGAGAGUGAGCAAAGCCGCCACCCUCGAUAAUAGCAGGACUGAAGAAAUUCCGAGAAGCUAAUGCAUGGAUUGCAUUCAGCUCUUGCCCAGUCGCCAUGUUUGCUUGCUGAAACCCUUCCAUUUCUGCUAUCUGAGUUUCAGAAACAACGAAAUUUUAAUAACGUGCUGAAAUUUUGGAAGAGGGCGAGAACAAAUGCAUUAUACAUACAAAGGAUUGAUUUGCAUACCUUUGAUCGGAGACGCACGCUUUCAUUUUCCAGCUCAACCUCCUAUGAAAAUGAAAAUGUCACAGAGUUCCAUAAAAGCUUGGAAGAAAACGAAAAAAAAGGCUAAACAGGAUUUAAUGAACUUUAAUUAUUACCCUUUUCUACAAGAACUCAAUUUUAGGAAACAGACAAAGCAACAAAUUAUUUUCAAAAUGACAUAAAUUACAUAUAUUGAAUGUACAUCGAUAAAGUUUAUGCAAUGUAUUGUUGCAAAACAAUGGUGUAUUGCUCAAAUUCAAUUAUUUUUUGUAUGCAUAAUGCAAUUAAUUAAUUACCUUCUUGGACCUGAUCCUAGUGAUGCCUCACUCAAGCCUGUUCUCCAGUUGCUUAAGCUCCUUUACAGUUAAAGAACUCAGAGAAUCACACAUCAGAUGCCGAUAUGAAGAGUCAAGAGUGAGAUAACCAAUUGAAAAUUCAAUUGAAAUUGUAUAUUUUGGAAUAAAAAAUUAACGACACCUAAUAUGAAAAUGAUUGUUGAUGAAAUAAUUGAAAAUAUCUGUUCGAAUUCUGUGAGAUUUGAAUUUGCUGCCGCAGCUUUGCUGACUCCUGCUGAUAGUACUGUUUCCAUGGGUCACAUGUAAUUGGAGAAGUUUAAUUUUUAUUGGGAACUUUUUAUUUCAAUGCUAGCUAUGUGGUAACCAAUGAUAAUUAGUUGGCUUUUUUUUUUUUUUUUUUUAACCUUUUCAUAAUAGCAUAUAUUCCUAGUAAAGCCUGAAUUUAUAGCUUAAAUUAAUGAAUUAUUUACCUGAGCAUUUAUCUCAGUAACAGUGUCAGAAUUUGAAUUAUCCGAACAUGCCUUCUUGUACCUAUCAAUGGUUGACCUUAUGCUGCUACGUGCAUAACACAUAAAUUUCUAAUUAUUUAGUAUAAUUGUUUGAAAUUGUUUUUGGGAAAAAAAGAGGAAUAAGAAAAGAGGGAGCUGAAGUUUAAUAAACAAUUUUAUUUCUUUAUUAAAUAUCAUUUAUGUUAUCUCAUUAGUUUUCAUGAUCCCUCAGUCUUCAGCUACAUGGAUAAACAAACAUAGACAUAAAAAGAAAGACAUGUUAAGUAAGAUGUAUGAAAAAAUGUUUUAUUUUAUUCUUAAUUCUUUAUUCUCAAUGAGGACAUUGGAAUAAGUUUACUAAACCUAGCUACCCUCUACAUCUAGCUAGGUCAUUAAUUCCAAGCUCAAAGUGGCAUUUAUUUACUCUCUAAUUUAAGAGAAUUUUAUCCCCACAAGCCAAUUGAAUAUUGAGAUGAGAACUACUAAACUAAUAGGUGCUUCUUGAUAUACGUAUCAAGUUAACAUUUCAAGUUCUACGCCUGAUAUUUCAAUUGUAAGUUUAAUGUGUAAGGUUUCUUUAAUCUAACAUUUUAAUUGACAGCCACUCCCUAUAGCUUCCUAAUCAUAAAUGAAAUUAUAUGUGCCCACUCCCUAUAAUUUGAACUUUGAAGUGAAGAAGUUAGCACUUUAUAUCCCCAUCACAUUGAAGAGUAAAAAUCUCUUUCACGUUUUAGGUUUCUAUUCACCAUGCAUGUGGAAAGAGCAAGACCUAAUAGCAUUUUAAAUUUCUUCAAACAAGUCCAUCACUUUAAUAGCACGAAAAUGUUAGUGCAAACUGAGAAAGAAACCAAUACACGAUUGAAAAUUUUCGGUGCUUUUAGAGUCAAAAGUACUGAAGAAAACUGAAGUGAAAGAUAUGAUUCAGAUUGCUUCAAUGAAGAAAAAAGAUAUGGGAAAAUUUUAAUUUAAAGCUAAAAGUAGAAACAAAAGCCAAAGAAAAUUGAGAAUUUGUAAAUGAUUAUAAAAGGAAAGAAUCCAUCUGGCCAGACUUCAGAUCACUGCAGCAAGCUGUAAUUAUUAAUAUGAUUAUUAAUGUAUUGCAGCUGCUGUGUAUUUUGUCAAAUGAUCUAAAACCCUAGAUACAGAUAGGAAAGUCACCGCAGCCUUUUCUUUUUCUGGGGAAUUGGAGUGGACAACUUCGGUCAAAUUUUUAUUUUUUUUCAUUUUUAUAAAAACAUUUUAGCUACCAUGAAAUGAUGUACUUGCAAGAGUCUAACUUUCAUCACGAACAAAAACCCCUUUAUGACAUUCGUUUAAUUAUAUCAAAAAGUUGAAAUUGUUGAAAAACAUUUGUUCAAAAAAAAAAUAUUGUUUUUCACCAAAGCAGUGACUCAAGACCAGCAAUAUUCUUGACCACUAAAGUCUCUUUACCUAUUUUCUAAUUAGGAUAACAUUAUUUAUAAUUUACCUUAAAAUGCAGUUGAACGACUUUCAAUUUCUUUGUUUAAUUAGUCAUUCGAGUUGAACUCCUAAAAAAGAUAUGAAUUAAAAAUAAUGUUUGGGCUAUGCUCCUUCCCCUUUAAUAAAAACUUGAAAAAAUAAAAUAAAAUGAAUUCAUGAUGUGGUUUUAUCUCAAUAACAUUAUUACUGCUCCUAUGGGGGAUUUUCAACUGUUACUAGUUAUAUAAAUGGCUAAUCUAAAUAUCUGAACUCUGCUAUAUAAUAGGCUAAUCCAUGCCAUUCUAAUAAAUAUUUAACUUAGGGAUGGCAAAAUAACCCGGACCCGGCCCGGACCCGGAUAAUCCGGGCCGGGUUGAACCCGUACCAGAAUGUAAAAAAAUCCGGGUCCGGAAUAAAUUUUAAUAACCCGGAUAUAUCCGGGUCCGGGUUCGGGUUUAGGUUAACCCGGACAUCCGGAACCCGGACCCGGAUAUUUAAUUUUAAUAUUAUUUUUUAAUUAAUUUUAUUGAUUAAUCUAGAUGUGUUAUUGCUUGGAAAUGUAUUAAUUUUUUAUUUUUAGAAUUUUAGAAAUUGAUAUUGAUUCAUUGAUCCGGGUUCAAAACCCGGAAUCCGGAAACCCGGAUUUUUCCGGGUUGAACCCGGACCCGGACCCGGGUGAAAAAAUCCGGGUUAAAAUCCGGGUCCGGGAAAAGAAAAUAGUAUCCGGGUCCGGAUCCGGAAAGGCUAAACCCGGACCCGGACUCGGAUUUUGCCAUCCCUAAUCUAACUAUUAAUUCUAUAAACUAAAAGGAAAAAAAUAAUUGUACUUUUAGUAGUACAUAUACCAUGCUAGCGAUAUUGAAUUCAACUUUCUAUUUAAACUCUCUUAUAUUCUUUUCUUCAAACUCUUUUAGAUUCUUUUCUACAUUUCAACUUUCUAUUUAAACUCUCUUAUAUUCUUUUCUUCAAACUCUUUUAGAUUCUUUUCUACAUUUCAACUUUCUAUUUAAACUCUCUUAUAUUCUUUUCUUCAAACUCUUUUAGAUUCUUUUCUACAUUUCAACUUUCUAUUUAAACUCUCUUAUAUUCUUUUCUUCAAACUCUUUUAGAUUCUUUUCUACAUUUCAACUUUCUAUUUAAACUCUCUUAUAUUCUUUUCUUCAAACUCUUUAGAUUCUUUUCUACAUCUCAACUUUCUAUUGAAACUCUCUUACAUCUUUUAUUUCUUAACUUUCUAUUUAAACUCUCUUACAUCCUUUACUUCUCAACUUCCUAUUACAUUCAUUACUCAAUUUAUAAAUUUCAUACCUUAAAUCCUAAAAUUUAAAUCAAGUCUCUUCCCCUUUCUCAUCUCUUCAUACGCAAUGCAAUCUUUUUUGUUCUCCUCUCUUUGCAAGUAAGUAAAAUCUUAGUUCAUCGCAUCAUCUCACAGUUUGUUUUCAUACUUUGCUUUCUUCAAAUUGCCCUCGCAUUUUCCUCUCAAUCUCAAUUUCUGGUUUUUUUGUUUGUUGUAGACUCGAUUUUCUUUACCUCGGUUUGUAAAUUUUAUCGGAUGUAAUGCAUAAUCAUGGGCGACCCAAUUAAUGCCCAGGAGGGGCUUCAGCCCCUUUUAGGCCAUUAAUUUUUCUUUUAAAUGUACCCCACGCCCUUUCUAAAAGAAUUAAAUAAAAAAAUUUGGACACAUAUUUUAUGUAACAAAAGACUUAUGGUUCAAUGAUAAGAGUGCUAUUUGAUGGUUUUAAAGUCCUGGUUUAAAUCCCAAUAGCCACAUUAUUUUGUUUCUUUUUAUAAAUAGUUUUUGAAAAUUACUUAGAAAAAUGAUACUUUUAUGCAUUUAAAAUAAAAAGUUUAUUACUAUUAUUAUUUAAAAUUUAAAAGAAAAUAAUGAAAUUUGAGUCUAUGAGAUUUAAAAUGUAUUCAUGUGAACAUUAAAAAAAAACCCCAAAUUAAAUAAAAUGUUUUGAACUAAUCCCCCUAAUUUAAGUAUCUGGGUCCGCCACUAUGCAUAAUUGAUCGUUGUCGUUUUUUUUUCAAUAAUUUCGUGAAACAUGCAUAAUUAAAUUAAAUUAUACAUCAGCAUAAUUAAUUAAUUAACUGAUGCUGUUUAGAUUCUGUGCUUGAUUAUAUAGCAAUUCAUCAUAUUUUAUUAUGAUUAUAAAUUUAACUAUAUGGUCGGGGUCUGAGUGAUUUUUAUUUUUAAUUUUUUUAAUGAAUUUAUUCAUGUUCCGUUGGAUAAUAUUUAAAGUAAUAUCAAAUAUAAGUUUUAAUGGAGUGAAAUUGUAUGGGAAUGGUAACUAAGUUUUCUUUCUUAUUCUUUAAUGAUAAAAAUUGAAUUCAAUGUGAAAGUGGUUUGAUAUUGUAAAUGCAUUGCAGGUAAAUUGAUUUUUUUUUUAGGAUGGGAGAAAGAGUGGUUGAUGGCGAUUGGAAGCCUACUUCUCCAUCUAAUGGGGAGCGCACUGUGGUUUUACUUGGCCGUACUGGCAAUGGCAAAAGUGCGACGGGCAAUAGUAUUCUCGGGAGAAAAGCCUUCAAGGCGAGUGCUGGCUCGUCUGGUGUUACUAAAACUUGUGAAAUGAAGACAACCGUGCUCAAAGAUGGCCAAGUUGUUAAUGUCAUUGAUACCCCCGGUAAUUUGCUAAUGUUGGUUCCUAGAUAUUCCAUUCCAUGCUUGUUGAUGUUGUGAUGGUAAGUAGAUUGAUGUUACGAGCCAUUGCAGGACUUUUUGAUUUGUCUGCUGGCUCUGAGUUUGUCGGCAAGGAAAUUGUCAAAUGUCUCGGUAUGGCCAAGGAUGGCAUCCAUGCAUUCCUUGUAGUUUUCUCUGUUACAAACCGUUUUUCUCAAGAGGAAGAAACUGCAGUACACCGUUUGCCGAACUUGUUCGGGAAAAAUGUUUUUGACUAUAUGAUUGUUGUUUUCACUGGAGGGGAUGAUCUUGAAGAUCAUGAGAAAACAUUAGAAGAUUUUUUGGGUCAUGAGUGUCCAAAGCCUUUAAAGGUUUGUUUCUGAACUCUUAUAGUGUUCGAUAAUUUCAUCAGUCAUUUUGAUCAAGUUGUCUUUGGCUGGUUCUUUUGUGAAGUUUUAGACUCCUUUACGGUUGGACUAUUGGAAGUUUAAUAUGAAUAUAUGCAUGCUGAAAAUACUAGAUAGCUUUAUAGUAGGCCAGCCGUCUUAAAGUUCCAUUUUCAAUGGUGCUUCAUUUCGUGAAUGGUUUUCUUCUGCCAUGCGGGAUUGGCCGGAGAGGUGAUUGGUAAUUUUCUGCUGGCGUUACUUAAUUUUACUUAUACGUUAUUGUCUUCGAAUGAGAUAUCAUUCAUUCAUUCGCUAAACAUUUUUGCUUUUCUUAUUUGUAUUCUUUGAUUUCCUCUGCGAUUUAAUCUUGGUUCUUAUUCUAUUAAGGUGUGUUCAUUUGUUUGUUUCUCAAAAUAUGUACCUCUUUGAUUUAUACGCUCAAAAUUAACCUACUUUUAAGAUUUUAAAAGUGGCCCAAAGAGGAUGUGACUUGCUAUACAGGUCCAUUUUAUUCGGCGUUAUUUGAAUAAAAUAUCAAGACUAACUUUACAAGAUUUAAAAUUCUCUUAAAAGUUCAUGUGGAUUCUAGGCUCAGAAUUGGUGUCUAAAAUUUCAAUGUGAGAUCUUUUUCAAGUUUCAACAUGCAAAUCUCUUAUUUUCAGAAUUUACUUGAUGAUUUUGGUUCCUAAAAUUUUUUAACUUGAGAAAGAUUUAUAUCAAGUUCUUCUAUUUUACUGCAUACUUGAUUCAACCUAUGAGGAGUGGGAAGAAAAAUAACAAAAAUGAAAAUAAAGACCCCUUUAAGUUGUAGCUUUGCAAUUAACAAAAUCCGGUUAUUUUACAGUUAAAGGGAACUUUGUUUUACUUAUUGUACUUAUUAUUAUUAUUAUUAUUCCUACUACUACUACUUAUGUUAUAUGGAAUGCUGAUCACCUUUUAAGAUUUUAAAAUUUGAUGGACGUAAGAGGUUAUGUAAGUGGUCAAACCAUAAGGAGAAUGGAAUUGAUUAUUAAAUAGUUUUUGAGGAUGCCUGAUAAUAAGUACUAACGAUCACAAUAAAAAAAAAUUUUGUCAGCUUAAUAUCCUCAAACUUUUAGAGACUACAAGUGUUUGAUUGGUUGAUCAAUGCUUACCGAAAGGAGCUAACAUUUGCUUUAUUCCUGAUCAUUUUCCAAUUAUUUUAGGAAAUCCUUCAACUAUGUGAUAAUAGGUGCGUGCUUUUUGAUAACAAGACCAAGGAUGAGGCCAAGGGAACCGAGCAGGUUCGGCAGCUUCUUUCUCUGGUUAACUCUGUGAUCGUGCAGAAUGGUGGGCAGCCAUAUACGGACGAGUUGAAGGUGACUUCAUUACUAUCGGGAUAGACUUCUGUGCUGCUUCUUUCUGAAUAUGUCAUGACAAUAUCUCUUUUUCUUUUUUUCUACUCAGAGAGGGGCCACUGAACUCCGUGAUCAAAAAGCUGAGGUUGAUUCUCUCAAGGAAUAUUCAAAACGAGAAAUUUCAAAGCUGAUGGGCCAGAUGCAGGAAUCAUAUGAAGAUCGAAUCAAACGAAUGGCUGAGAUGGUAUUUUUUAUGCUCCAUGUUUUGGCAUCAAAAUAUGACAUGCAUAUGUGUUCAUCUCUCAAAUCGGGUAAUCAUUUCUCAAACUGUGUAAUUAAAAAAUGACUAUAAAGCCUGCAGGUACCUGUAACGAUAUUCUAAAUUGUUAGACUUGGAGGUUGUAAAGACUGCCGCUCUGUCCGUACCCCUAGAUUGUUGGAGAUUGCCAUAUGAAAAGAGGCCUUAUCUUGCUAGUUGAUGUGGACAAAUCUGUUAUUAUUUGUUCACUCAUUAUGUUUUGAAGGCCGUAACAUGCUGUUCUUACCUUGAAGAUUGUUUGACGGUCCUGCUCUGUUUUUUGUUGAUGAAAUUAAGGUGGUUUACUAAUCAUGACUUACACUAAGGUGGAUUCUGCACUUGUUUAGUCAUCAAUCAUGAGAACAUUUCUUGUAAUACUGUGGGAACAAUUGAAAUGUUACGAGCAGGUUAUGUCAUAAUUUAAUUUUGUUAAAAAUAGAAUAGCCAUAUUCACAAUAAGUUUUUAUGAAAAUAUAGUUACGCACGUGAAACCUAAUCAAAUGGCUGCGUAGUUUUGAUUUUCCUUUCCACAGUUUUAAUUUAUUGCAAGGCAAUAGAAUGAUUCGGCAUUAAGCCAUAUCCUAUUCAACAAUAAUCUGGAUUUGCUGUAACAUUCUGUGUAAUGAUUAUAUGUCGGAGGUGCUAAUAAGUUUUAUUCUCGACAAUCCUGGAGUAUGGCAAAAUGAAAAAGUUAGCAGAUUCUUUAACACUUUUAUUUUGGAUUUAUGUGUUUAUUUUUUUAAGCUCUUGUUUCUACCAUUUAUCAAUGAUUGAGAGUGGAAUUGAUUGGUCAUAAAGUUGUGCCGAGUAUGGUGAACUUAGCAACUCGCUUUGCAAUUGAAUUAAACUAAAUUGAUACUUAAGAAUUUUUUUCUCUUAAGUUGGAGUUUUAUAUUACCAAUAUCCAAUUUUUUUGUAUUGUGCUGCUACUCUAGGGCUUAGUGGCAUGUUUUCUGACUAAUAUUGAUGCUUUUUUGAUAGGUUGAGUCUGGGCUCAAAGAGACAACAACUAGGCUCGAACAGCAAUUGGCAAAGGAGCAAGCUGCUCGAUUAAGGGCAGAAGAGGUAGCACAAUUAGCUGAAAUGAAGUUAAAAGACGAAAUUCAAUCUCGAAGUACUGAAAAGGAGACUGCGGAACCCCCUAAGCCAUCUGAAAAUCCUCCGCCGGAGCCCCCUAGGCCACCUGCAAGUCCUCCGCGGGAGCCCCCCAGGCCACCUGCAAGUCCUCCGCCGAAGCCCUCUAGCACAUCUGAUGGGUGGUGUGCCAUUAUGUAAAUGUUCGCAGUCCAGACGCUUAUAUCUUCUGUUAUGUAAAUGUUCACAGUCCAAUCUCGAGUGCGGUCUUAAGAUAGUACUACAUGAAAAAACGGUAUUGACAUCAAAUGAAGUUUCAUUUAUGGAGCCAUCUAGAAUCUUUUCUUACACGGUGGAUCCGAAGAGAUCUGAUUCCUUUUCUCCUCAUUGAGCUCUUAACGAACGCUAUAUUGUUUUCACAUUUGUAGCAGAUACUACCCAAAAUGUGCCCUUCUAACAAUCAUGACUUUCCCAAAAAUUCAAACCGACUAACAGAGUAAUCCUAAUAUCCGAAAGACUUGCUAUAAAACCACCAAGCCUUUGACCCUUCUCUGAUACGCACCAUAGUUCAACUAGCUCAUAAUGCAAAUCCUUCGACAUCACACAGCCUCAGUUUUGAAAGUUUUAUAGAUAUUAAGUUUCAGCAUAAUAACUGGUCUCCCAAAGAGAAGAUGCCAAUGAUAAGUCAGCCUAAGUAAUUAGGUUACACAUAAAUUCAUCCAAUUUCAUAUAUUGCUGGUUUCAAAAAUAGGUAUCAAGUAGCACACACAUUCAGUAGAUAAUGAUAUUCUGAUCGUAGAUCUCGUACUGAGAUGCCACAAGCUUGAUCUCUUGCAAACGGGAGAAAACAUUGAUGCACGCUCAACACGAGCUCAUAGAAAUGAAAUGUGAUGGGAGAAUUAAUUACCCGAGAUGGAGUAUCUUCUUGUCCGGAUGAGAGUGAGCAAAGCCGCCACCCUCGAUAAUAGCAGGACUGAAGAAAUUCCGAGAAGCUAAUGCAUGGAUUGCAUUCAGCUCUUGCCCAGUCGCCAUGUUUGCUUGCUGAAACCCUUCCAUUUCUGCUAUCUGAGUUUCAGAAACAACGAAAUUUUAAUAACGUGCUGAAAUUUUGGAAGAGGGCGAGAACAAAUGCAUUAUACAUACAAAGGAUUGAUUUGCAUACCUUUGAUCGGAGACGCACGCUUUCAUUUUCCAGCUCAACCUCCUAUGAAAAUGAAAAUGUCACAGAGUUCCAUAAAAGCUUGGAAGAAAACGAAAAAAAAGGCUAAACAGGAUUUAAUGAACUUUAAUUAUUACCCUUUUCUACAAGAACUCAAUUUUAGGAAACAGACAAAGCAACAAAUUAUUUUCAAAAUGACAUAAAUUACAUAUAUUGAAUGUACAUCGAUAAAGUUUAUGCAAUGUAUUGUUGCAAAACAAUGGUGUAUUGCUCAAAUUCAAUUAUUUUUUGUAUGCAUAAUGCAAUUAAUUAAUUACCUUCUUGGACCUGAUCCUAGUGAUGCCUCACUCAAGCCUGUUCUCCAGUUGCUUAAGCUCCUUUACAGUUAAAGAACUCAGAGAAUCACACAUCAGAUGCCGAUAUGAAGAGUCAAGAGUGAGAUAACCAAUUGAAAAUUCAAUUGAAAUUGUAUAUUUUGGAAUAAAAAAUUAACGACACCUAAUAUGAAAAUGAUUGUUGAUGAAAUAAUUGAAAAUAUCUGUUCGAAUUCUGUGAGAUUUGAAUUUGCUGCCGCAGCUUUGCUGACUCCUGCUGAUAGUACUGUUUCCAUGGGUCACAUGUAAUUGGAGAAGUUUAAUUUUUAUUGGGAACUUUUUAUUUCAAUGCUAGCUAUGUGGUAACCAAUGAUAAUUAGUUGGCUUUUUUUUUUUUUUUUUUUAACCUUUUCAUAAUAGCAUAUAUUCCUAGUAAAGCCUGAAUUUAUAGCUUAAAUUAAUGAAUUAUUUACCUGAGCAUUUAUCUCAGUAACAGUGUCAGAAUUUGAAUUAUCCGAACAUGCCUUCUUGUACCUAUCAAUGGUUGACCUUAUGCUGCUACGUGCAUAACACAUAAAUUUCUAAUUAUUUAGUAUAAUUGUUUGAAAUUGUUUUUGGGAAAAAAAGAGGAAUAAGAAAAGAGGGAGCUGAAGUUUAAUAAACAAUUUUAUUUCUUUAUUAAAUAUCAUUUAUGUUAUCUCAUUAGUUUUCAUGAUCCCUCAGUCUUCAGCUACAUGGAUAAACAAACAUAGACAUAAAAAGAAAGACAUGUUAAGUAAGAUGUAUGAAAAAAUGUUUUAUUUUAUUCUUAAUUCUUUAUUCUCAAUGAGGACAUUGGAAUAAGUUUACUAAACCUAGCUACCCUCUACAUCUAGCUAGGUCAUUAAUUCCAAGCUCAAAGUGGCAUUUAUUUACUCUCUAAUUUAAGAGAAUUUUAUCCCCACAAGCCAAUUGAAUAUUGAGAUGAGAACUACUAAACUAAUAGGUGCUUCUUGAUAUACGUAUCAAGUUAACAUUUCAAGUUCUACGCCUGAUAUUUCAAUUGUAAGUUUAAUGUGUAAGGUUUCUUUAAUCUAACAUUUUAAUUGACAGCCACUCCCUAUAGCUUCCUAAUCAUAAAUGAAAUUAUAUGUGCCCACUCCCUAUAAUUUGAACUUUGAAGUGAAGAAGUUAGCACUUUAUAUCCCCAUCACAUUGAAGAGUAAAAAUCUCUUUCACGUUUUAGGUUUCUAUUCACCAUGCAUGUGGAAAGAGCAAGACCUAAUAGCAUUUUAAAUUUCUUCAAACAAGUCCAUCACUUUAAUAGCACGAAAAUGUUAGUGCAAACUGAGAAAGAAACCAAUACACGAUUGAAAAUUUUCGGUGCUUUUAGAGUCAAAAGUACUGAAGAAAACUGAAGUGAAAGAUAUGAUUCAGAUUGCUUCAAUGAAGAAAAAAGAUAUGGGAAAAUUUUAAUUUAAAGCUAAAAGUAGAAACAAAAGCCAAAGAAAAUUGAGAAUUUGUAAAUGAUUAUAAAAGGAAAGAAUCCAUCUGGCCAGACUUCAGAUCACUGCAGCAAGCUGUAAUUAUUAAUAUGAUUAUUAAUGUAUUGCAGCUGCUGUGUAUUUUGUCAAAUGAUCUAAAACCCUAGAUACAGAUAGGAAAGUCACCGCAGCCUUUUCUUUUUCUGGGGAAUUGGAGUGGACAACUUCGGUCAAAUUUUUAUUUUUUUUCAUUUUUAUAAAAACAUUUUAGCUACCAUGAAAUGAUGUACUUGCAAGAGUCUAACUUUCAUCACGAACAAAAACCCCUUUAUGACAUUCGUUUAAUUAUAUCAAAAAGUUGAAAUUGUUGAAAAACAUUUGUUCAAAAAAAAAAUAUUGUUUUUCACCAAAGCAGUGACUCAAGACCAGCAAUAUUCUUGACCACUAAAGUCUCUUUACCUAUUUUCUAAUUAGGAUAACAUUAUUUAUAAUUUACCUUAAAAUGCAGUUGAACGACUUUCAAUUUCUUUGUUUAAUUAGUCAUUCGAGUUGAACUCCUAAAAAAGAUAUGAAUUAAAAAUAAUGUUUGGGCUAUGCUCCUUCCCCUUUAAUAAAAACUUGAAAAAAUAAAAUAAAAUGAAUUCAUGAUGUGGUUUUAUCUCAAUAACAUUAUUACUGCUCCUAUGGGGGAUUUUCAACUGUUACUAGUUAUAUAAAUGGCUAAUCUAAAUAUCUGAACUCUGCUAUAUAAUAGGCUAAUCCAUGCCAUUCUAAUAAAUAUUUAACUUAGGGAUGGCAAAAUAACCCGGACCCGGCCCGGACCCGGAUAAUCCGGGCCGGGUUGAACCCGUACCAGAAUUUUAGAAAUUGAUAUUGAUUCAUUGAUCCGGGUUCAAAACCCGGAAUCCGGAAACCCGGAUUUUUCCGGGUUGAACCCGGACCCGGACCCGGGUGAAAAAAUCCGGGUUAAAAUCCGGGUCCGGGAAAGGAAAAUAGUAUCCAGGUCCGGAUCCGGAAAGGCUAAACCCGGACCCGGACUCGGAUUUUGCCAUCCCUAAUCUAACUAUUAAUUCUAUAAACUAAAAGGAAAAAAAUAAUUGUACUUUUAGUAGUACAUAUACCAUGCUAGCGAUAUUGAAUGUUAAUUAAUUAUUAACAUUAAAUAUCCCUUGCUAGCGAUCUUGAACGUCCUACAAACAGCAGUCAAUCUUCGCUCCAAACAUGGAAGUAUAAAUGAUCUUUGCCUAGUUUGUAACUGUUGGUGCAAAUUUUGUCCCAACUUAUGAUAUGGAAAUUUCGACUGAGGACAACCCCCUUAGGACUUGGGUUCCUCUUUGUUAGAUUUUAUGAUGGUGAGUUCAUUAUUUGGGCUGAUCUUUAUGGGCCUUUAUAUAUGCUCUUCUGAGUCCACUUCCUUAGGCACUCAGCAGGUCCUUACUUGUGAUACUCUACAAACACAAGAAAAUGAUCAGAGGGCCGGCUUUGCCGGCGUAAACCCUUUGACGGUCAAGUCAAUCACCGGACUUUUGGAAAUAUAAAUUUAGAAAGAGAAAGAUUAGAGGGAGAAAGUUAGCAUUUUUCCCUUUUGAGUCUCUUUUUGUUUGUCUUACCUUUUAGUGAGAAUGAAAGACAUAUUUAUCGACCAAACUGAUUUGACUUGGGUCCUAGUUUUUAUCCUUGAAAUAAGAUGCUCAUUUGUUUUGUUGAACUUGAAUAAAGAUACAAAAUUUUCAUCUGUUAAGUUUAUGAAAAUUUAGAAUCGAUCCAAGGACAUUCAUCAUUGUCACAACUUUUUUUUUUUUUUUUAACAUCUCAUGGAGAAUUUACUUGACUGGGAGAAGUAGUCUUUUAUUCAUCCGCAUUUUGUCUUUACAAAACUUGUCUGACCAUUGAGGAAAGAUCAGACUUAUAUAAGUACAAGAUCAUACUAUUGAUGGUAAAUCCUGAGAUGCUCAGCAUUCCAAGCAUGCCUCAAGAUCUUUCCACCUAAGGUAGACAAAAUAUAAGUUCCUGGCCUAACUACUUCUCUGAUUAUGUAAGGUCCAUCCUAGUUAGGACCCAAGGUGCCAACACCUGGUUCUUGAGCAUUAGGCAAAACCUUCUUUAGAACAAGAUCUCCAAUUCUGAACUUCCGAAUUUUAACUCGAGCAAUGUAGUAACGAGCUACUUUGCCUUGAUAGGCAGCGACCUUGAUCAUAGCAUGAUCCCUCUUUUCUUCUAAGAGGUCUAAACUUUGGCGUUGUAGCUCAUCAUUGAUGACAGGAUCAAAGUGUUGUACUCGAUAAGUCGGCGUUCUUAUUUCAGCAGGGAUGACAGCUUCUGCACCAAAUGCCAAUAAGAAGGGAGAUUCUCCUGUAGGAGUCCUUGGUGUAGUUCGAUAAGACCAUAGGACGAAUGGUAAUUCAUCUGGCCAUGCUCCUUUGGCUUUCUCUAACUUAGCCUUCAGAAUUUGCUUAAUCACUCGAUUGGCAGCUUCAACUUGUCAAUUAGCCUGAGGAUGGGCAGGAGAAGAGUAACAAUUUUUUAUCUUAAGCUUUCUACAAAACUCACGAAAUUUGUCAUUGUCAAAUUGCCUCCCAUUGUCAGUGAUUAUAGUAUGAGGUACGCCAUACCGACAUAUGAUGUUCUUCUGAAUAAAGUCGGUAGUUUUCUUCUCAGUAAUAGUUGCCAAAGGCUCAGCUUCCACCCACUUUGUGAAGUAAUCAAUGGCAACUAUAGCAAACCUUACUUGCCCCUUUCCUUUUGGCAGAGGACCAAUUAGAUCAACCCCCCAUUGGGCAAAUGGCCAAGGAGUAAGGAGAGGAGUUAACUUUUCUGGAGCUUGCUUGGGUAUAAUAGCAAACCUUUGGCAUUUAUCACACUUUUUUGCUAACUCCAAGGCAUCUCGUUGCAUCGUCAGCCAAAAGUAUCCUUGUCUCAUAGCUUUGUAGGUAAGUGCUCAUCCUCCAGAAUGAUUUCCACAUAUCCCCUCAUGGAUUUCACGUAAGACAUUAUCUCCAUCUUCGGGUGUCAAACACUUGAGAAGAGGAAGUGAAUAUCCAUGUUUGUAAAGUUGAUUAUCCAUGAUCACAUACCUUGUAGCUCAGUAUCUCACCUUUUUUGAUUCAUUCUUGUCCCUUUGGCAUUUAUCACACUUUUUUGCUAACUCCAAGGCAUCUCGUUGCAUCGUCGGCCAAAAGUAUCCUUGUCUCAUAGCUUUGUAGGCAAGUGCUCGUCCUCCAGAAUGAUUUCCACAUAUCCCCUCAUGUAUUUCACAUAAGACAUUAUCUCCAUCUUCAGGUGUCAAACACUUGAGAAGAUGAAGUGAAUAUCCACGUUUGUAAAGUUGAUUAUCCAUGAUCACAUACCUUGUAGCUCGGUAUCUCACCUUCUUUGAUUCAUUCUUGUCCUCAGGUAAAGUUCCAUUCAUAAGAUAACUCAUAAUUAGGUCCAUCCAGGAACUCCGAUGGUCAAUGGUUGCCACUUUCUUUUCUUCACAUUUAAUUAUGCUUGGCUCGGGAAUGAUGACUGUCUCAGUAAGUCUUUUUCUGGUAAGAAAGCUAGUUGAACUAAUGCAUCAGCUCGUGUGUUUUGUUCCCGAGGAAUUUGCUUCACCUCACAAUUGAAGUCCCUUAACAACUCAUUAACUCGAUCAAGAUAUGCAAUCAUGUUGAAAUCCCGAGCUGUAUAGUUGCAAUUCACUUGAUUAACUACCAAUUGAGAGUCACUAAAGACAAGUAAAUCCUUUGCACCUAAGGCUCGAACUAGCCUAAGGCCAGCCAGAAGAGCUUUAUACUCUGCUUCAUUGUUGGUAGCAUUGAAGCCAUACCUAAGAGCGCAUCCAAUCUCAACAUUGUUUGGAGUGAUUGCUAUAAAACCUGCACCACAUCCUCGUUUACUAGAGGAUCCAUCGACAUAGAGAGACCAUUUAUCUUGAUGCUCCUCUUUAGGAUCAAGUGAUAUAAUAUCUCCUUCAGUAAACUCAGCAAUGAAGUUUGCCACUGCUUGCCCUUUUAAUGAUGUCCUAGGAUGAUAUAAGAUGUCAAACUCCCUAAGUUCAAUAGCCCACUUUGUCAUCCUUCCUGAAAUAUCAGGCUUAGCUAAAACUUGUCUAAUUGGUUGAUCAAUGAGGACGAUUAUGGUAUGAGCUUGGAAAUAAGGCCUUAACCUUCUUGCUGAAACAAUCAAGGCUAGAACAAUAUUUUCAAGACUUAGAUACCUUGUUUCUGCAUCAACCAACCCUCUACUUGUAUAGUAGAUAGGCCUUUGCACUCCAUCAUCUUCUCGGACAAGGAUAGAGCUAGUGGCAUGUUCAGACAUUGCAAGAUAAAUGAAGAGAGACUCGCAUUGGAUUGGCUUAACAAGCAAAUGAGGGCUUCCUAAAUAUUCCUUAAGCUUUUGAUCUUCACAUUCCUCAGUCCACUUUAUCUCUUUUCCUUUUCUAAGAGCCUUAAAAAAAGGAAGGCACUUAUCUGUAGCUCGAGAGACAAAGCGAUUCAGGGCUGCUACUUGACCCGUCAACCUUUGAAUUUCUUUAACAUUCUUUGGAGACUUCAUAUUAACCAAUGCUUGGAUCUUCUCAGGAUUGAUCUCAAUACCUCUUUGAUUUACCACAAAGCCAAGGAAUUUUCCUUACGACACACCAAAUGCACAUUUAGUUGGAUUUAACCGCAUCUUGUACUUUCUAAGGAUAUCAAAGGUUUCCCGGAAGUCUUUUACAUGAUCUUCAGGGUUAAGGCUCUUGGUGAGCAUAUCAUCUACAUAAACCUCCAUGGUAUGCCCAAUUUGUUGAACGAACAUACUGUUUACCAACCUUUGAUAGGUGGCUCCAGUGUUCUUGAGUCCAAAUGGCAUAACUUUAUAGCAAUAGAGACCUCGAUAUGUGAUAAAUGCGGUCUUUUCUUGGUCAGGUUCAUGCAUCCUUAUUUGAUUAUAUCCUGAGUAUGCAUCCAUGUAGCUUAGCAGUCCAUGCCCAGCUGUAGCAUCCACUAGUUGAUCAAUCCUCGGUAAAGGAAAACUAUCAUUAGGGCAAGCUUUGUUAAGAUCAGUAAAGUCUACACACAUCCUCCACUUCCCAUUAGCUUUCUUCACCAUCACAACAUUAGCUAGCCAAUCAGGAUACCUUGCCUCCUUGAUAAAACCAGCUUUGAGAAGUUUAUCUACUCAUUCCUUUACGGCCAGAGAUCUUUCGGCGUUCAGACUUCUUCUUUUCUGUCGAAUUGGUUUCAUCUUUGGGUUAGUACUUAAACGAUGUACCACUACCCAAGGAUCAAUGCCUGACAUAUCAUUAUGCAUCCAAGCAAACACAUCAUGAUAUUCUUUCAGAAAGCUAACAAGUUGCUUCUUCAGCGGAUCAGGCAAUCGACCCCCAAUCUUCACGAUUUUACUCAAAUCUUCACCAAGUGGAAAGUCUUCCAAGUCAUCAACUGGGCUCGCCCUUUGAUAGUCUUUUACUGUCCUAGGAUCAAGGCUUGUGAUUUGAAGAGUUUCUUUGCCCAUCCUGAACGCUAUCUCAUAACACUCCCUUGCUUCUUUUUAUUCUCCUCGCACGACUCCAACCCCAGCUUCAGUUGGAAACUUCAACGCAUAAUGAUAAAUUGAAGUUGUUGCUUUUAAAGCAUAAAGAGUCGGCCUUCCUAAGACAACAUUAUAGGAACUUGGUUGAUAAACCACAAUAAGGUUAACCAUAGUGGUCAUCUUAGUUGGGCUUUUUUCGAAAGACACUAUGAGCUCUAUAACUCUUUCAGGAACUAUACUUCCUCCUGCGAAACCAUGAAGUAGAGUCGUGUAAGGUUUUAGCUGUGAUCAUUCUAACCCCAUUCGAGCGAAGGUUGACAAGAAUAAAAUAUCAGCUGAACUCCCAUUAUCAAUAAGAAUCCGAUGAAAACUCCCAUUAUCAAUAAGAAUCCGAACCAUUGAUCCUUGAGAUUGAUUAGUCAAAUUAACCUCGGGACCAUUGGGUUCAUGUCUUGCUUGGCGAGCUAGAUUUUUCCUUGACUUCCUGGAGUCUCCUGCAGCCGGCCCUCCCCAAAUGUGAUUGACAUCAUACAUGCUUUCAUCACUAUCUUCCUUCUUUUUUCCUUUUCUCUUCUUUGAAGAUUCUAGUUGCUCACUCUUUACUCGAUCCUCGAGAUUUCUUACAUACUCCUGUAGUUGCCCUUGUCGAACUAGGCUUUCUAUUUGUUCCUUAAGCUCAAAACACUCGGAGGUGUCAUGCCCAUGAUCUUUAUGAAAAUGACAAUACUUGUUUGGAUUUCUUCGGGAUGGAUUUGUCCUCAUAGGAGGUGGGGUUCUAAACAAAGUUGGAUUUCUUACCUGCAUGAGAAUUUGCUCCCGAGGAGUAUUAAGUUCUGUAAAGUUAGUGAAUUGAGAGGCUAACCGAGGAUGACUGCCUCGGACUUCAGAGCGUUCCCCAGGACGAAAUUGGUCUCUUUUUAGAGAUGGAUCAGGUCUGACAACUCUUCUUUCUCUUCCAUCAUCUUUCUUUUUCUUUCCUUUGAUUGGUUCUCUUUUCUCUUGAUUUCUGUUCUUGAAUCUUUCUUCCGCAUUGGCAUAUUUCUCAGCUCUCGCAAGCAUCUCAGAGUAAGAAGUGGGUGGUCUUUUUGAAACUGACCACCAUAGCUUUCCCAUCCUGAGCCCUUCCAUAAUACCAGAAAGUGCUAUGCCAUCAUCAUAACCAUCUACUUAGGUGAUCUCAUUAUUAUACCUUCUGAUGUAGUCUCUUAAGGUCUCCCCUUCCUGUUGUUUGACGGUCAAUAGGUAAGUCACUGGUUUUCCUCUUUGUCGGGCACUUCGGAAGUGAGAGGUGAAUUCUCUACUCAAAUCUCCAAAGGAUGAGAUGGAGUGUGGCUGCAACAUUCGGAACCAUCUUCGUGCUGCUCCUACUAAGGUAAGAGGAAAAGCCCGACAAAGAAUUGCUUGUGAUGCUCCUUGCACUUCCAUAAGGAUGCGAUACAAUUCUAAAUGCUCAGUUGGAUCCCUCUGCCCAUCAUAAGGCUCCAUUCGGGGUAAAUGAAACCUAGGUGGAUAUUUUGCUACCAUUAUAUCAAAAGUAAAUGGUGGCUCAUGUUCUGCUGUUACAUCAUCAAGUGGACCCAUUUCUCGAACCAUUUGCUCAAGUCUCUGCAUUAUUUCUUGUAAUCCUCUUUUGACUUCCUCUCCUUGGUCUAAACCUUCUCUGGUCAUUCUCCUCCUAAAUCUUCUUUGGUUAAGGGAAUGCCUGAGAUCAUCUUCAUUUAACUCUUCUCUAGACCUUGUUCUAGAGGAGCCGGAAUCAACCACAUUACCUCUACUUGAGUUCUCGCCUUCCUCAGCUCGAGCUGGAAAUUGGCCGAACAUUCUAUUAAAGUUACGAGCCAACUGAUCAACUUGUUGUUGAAGUCGAACAACACGAGGCUGUCCUCGACGUCUAGCGUGGCGAGGUGGAUUCAACUGAGGAUCUGGAGGAGGAUGGAUAGGCACCACAUCAUCAUCAUCUAGGUCUCGUUGUCGUCUCCUUCAUCGGAAGUGAACAUCCUCAUCCACUCUGGAACUUUCAUCAUCAGCCUCAUAGUACUCAUUGUUAGCAUCCAUGCUCAUGGUAGGGCUUCCAAGACUUUUAUCGGAAGAUCCCCACAGACGGCGCCAAACUAUUGGUGCAAAUUUUGUCCCAACUUAUGAUAUAGAAAUUUUGACUGAGGACAACCCCCUUAGGACUUGGGUUCUUCUUUGUUAGAUUUUAUGAUGGUGAGUUCAUUAUUUGGGAUGAUCUUUAUGGGCCUUUAUAUAUGCUCUUCUGAGUCCACUUCCUUAGGCAAUCAGCAGGUCCUUGUCUUGUGAUACUCUACAAACACAAGGAAAUGAUCAGAGGGCCGGCUUUGCCGGCGUAAACCCUCCGAUGGUCAAGUCAAUCACCGGACUUUUAGAAAUAUAAAUUUAGAAAGAGAAAGAUUAGAGGGAGAAAGUUAGCAUUUUUCCCUUUUGAGUCUUUUUUUUUUGUCUUACCUUUUAGUGAGAAUGAAAGACAUAUUUAUCGACCAAACUGAUUUGACUUGGGUCCUCGUUAUUUUGAUGACAAAUGUCAUUGUUCUUGUGACAUUUAGUAACACUUGUCCUCUAGUGCCCAUGUGGAUUGACACAUGGAUAUACAAACUUGUCUACUGAUUAGAGGAAGGAACGUUUUAUCCUUAGGUUAUUUUUACUAAGACCUUGAGAUCAUAAGAGCUUUCAAACUUAGGAGGUUUGUUCUAGGAUAGGAGUCAAGAACCUCAGCACCUUUUGGACUUUAAAUCCUUGCUACCUAGUUGAUUUAUCCUAAGUGAUUUGUCUUAGGAUAAGAAUCUAGGACCUUGGCUCCUUUUGGGCUUUGAAACCUUGUUACUUAGGAGGAUCAUUCUAGGUGAUUUGUCCACCACUUCGUGGGCUUAAUUGGGAGGAAAUUUAUUAGAUGGGCCUUAUUAGACUUAUUUUAUUUUUGGUCCAACAGUAACUCUGAUAAAGAAACUUUUUUUCACCUACUGGUUGACUGUCCUUUUGCAAGAACUUGUUGGAUUCAAUCAAAAGUGGGCUUCUUUGGUAUCUAUUCAUCAUUCAAGGAUUGGCUUCAAGCUUUGUUUAGGAACUGCACUAAUGAGCAGUGUUGGAUUGCUGUUAUGGUCUACUGGAAGCUAUGAAGCAACAAGAAUAAUCUGGUUUGGCAGGGGAAAUGCGACACAGCAAAACAUAUUGUUAAUACAGCUAGUAAUUUUUUGUUUCAAUGGCAGUUAGCUAAAUCCUCUGUGAUGUUUAAUCAAGUCUCAAGUGAUCCAGGUGCUGGUGCUAUUGCUUGGUCUCCUCCUCGAGUGGGCUGGCUUAAAUGUAACACUGAUGCUGCAGUUUUUACUGAUGAGGGAAGAGUUGGGCUGGGCAGUGUUAUCCGUGAUGAAUCGGGGAAAUUUGUUGCUGCUCUUUGUUGUAAUAUCAGGGGAAACUAUUCUCCUCGUGAUGCUGAGGUCCUUAGCAUUCAUAAGCUCUCUCUUUGGCUGAAGUCUAUGAAGUUGUCAAAGGUUAUCAUUGAAACUGAUUGCCUUCAAGCGUUUUAUGCUCUAGUCGAUCGAAAGAGUCCUCUAAAUAGCUUUGGCUCAUUAGUUUUGGAUUGCAAAUGUAUUGCUGAAUCUAUAGGCGAUAUUGUUUUCUCUUUCGUCAAAAGAUCUGAGAAUUCUAUUGCUCACUUUAUUGCUAGAGCGGAAAAUGCUUUGCCAGGUCGUGAAGAGUGGCGUUCUGUGCCACCUUCUUAGUUAAUCUCGGUGCUGUAAUUGCUGGUUUUAUUGUUAAUGAAAUUGCACUUUCCAUAAAAAAAAAACAUUGAAUGUUAUCAAGAUGAUGACAUUAUCAUUAUUUUCUGUAAUUAAAAAUAUUGUAACACUACCGUAAUUAGGAUUUUAGACGAUCAUUUUCCAAGCAUCUCCAUCAAUGAAUUGGUUAUGAAGAAUCUCAAUAGUAAACAAAAGGGACAAUAACUAGUGGGACUCAAAAGACAAUCAAAUACGGGUAUGGAUAGAAAAGGCAAUAUUAUGACAAAAUCCAUUUGCUCUUCAUGCACCAAUCACAACUUUACUUUUUCUGCUUGUUAUUGACUUAACAUGAAAAUAAGAAAGACGAGAACUUCAUUUAAUGAGUUAUAUCACUGCAAACUGAAGAAAAAACAAAAAGUGGACUAAGCUGGCCUGCUUGCUUUCAUUAAAGAAAUGCAAACAAAUUGUAGUGAGGCCUCCAAAGCCGGAACUAGAAACAGACAGUAAUAUUCGAGAAUCAUCAAAUUAAACACUCAAAAAACAUACUAUUUUAUUUAUUUUAUUUGUUCAACAACACUCCUCACCGACAACAACUCUUAUUUUUCACUCUUUACACCUUAAAGAUUUUUGUUACUUCACUUGAUGCUUAAACCAAAGGGGAGAUGGGGUAUUUUUACAUAAAACAAACUAAUCACAACCAUUCAUUUAUUCAACUACUGUAUAAAUCCUCACCAUUCAUUAAAAACUACCACUCACCUAGUUCACCAACCACACCUACCAUACCUACCACAAGAAGCUUCUAUGUAUUUGAGCUUGAAUUUAUUCAUCUUAGAUCAAGUUUAUGAUCCAACACCCUCCCUUAAACUUGAUCCUGUGAUACCAAGCAAACUUCUAAAUUUUACGAAGUCUUCUUGCUUGAGCGGAUUGGUGAAGAUAUCAGCUCAUUGAUCUUGUGAUUUUACAUACUUGAUUUGUACUUCUUUUCUUGCAAUACGCUCUCUUAUGAAAUGAUAGCGAAUAUCUAUGUGUUUGCUUCGAUCAUGAAAGACUGGAUUCUUGGAUAGGGCAGUUGCUGAUUUGUUAUCAACAAAAAUCUCGCUUGGCUCUUCUUAUGGCAAACCCAACUCCUUCAGCAAAUUUUUGAGCCAAAUUGCAUGACAAACACUUGAUGUGGCAGCUACAUACUUAGCUUUACAGGUGGAUAGCGUGACAAUUGAUUGCUUCUUUGACAUUUAUUGGAAAGCAGUAUCUCCUAUGAAGAACACAAAUCCUGUGGUGCUCUUUCGAUCAUCUACAUCUCCACCCCAAUCACUACCGCUAUAUCCAACAAGCUUGUAAUAAUUAGAAAAUGAGUAUAACAAGCCGAAAUUAAUUGUACAUUUGAUGUAGCGAAGGAUUCUUUUUGCAGCUUUAAAAUGAGUGGUCUUUGGAUUCUCCAUGUAUCGACUCACAAGUCCAACAACAUAAAGGAUAUUUGUUCUUGUGCAUGUCAAAUAACAUAGGCUUCCGACCAAACUUUUAAAGAAUGUUGGAUCUAUAUCUUCGCCUUCAUAAUGUUUGGAUAACUUGACUCCGCAUUCCACUGGCGUGCUUAUAGGCUUGCAAUCAUUCAUCUUGAACCUUUUGAGAAUCUUCUUUGCAUAGCUUUCUUGGGAGAUAAAUAUGCCUUCAUUCUUUUGCUUGACUAAUGUUGAGGUAAUAUGUCAUCAGUCCGAUGUCAAUCAUCUCGAACUCUUCAAAUAAGCUUGGAUCACUUUCAGUGAAGAUGAGAUCAUCCACAUACAAGCACACAAUCAAAAUGUCUCCAGCUUUUUCUUUGACGUAGAGAGCAUGUUCAUAUGGGCAUUUGGUGAAGUCGUUCUCUUGAAAAUACUUGUCAAUUUUGCUAUUCCAUAUUGCUUUAACCCAUAAAGAGUUUUCUUCAAUCUCAAAAUUUUGUCUUUAUGUCAUUUCACCACAUAGCCUAACGGUUGUUCGAUGUAAACUUCUUCAAGGAAUCAAUUCAGGAAAGCAGACUUCACAUCCAUUUGAAAAAUCUUCCAUUUGUUCUGAGCAGUCAAAGAAAUAAUAAGUCUAAUAGUUUCAAGUCGAGCUAUAAGAUCAAAUACCUUGUCGUAGUCUAUGCCAGCCUUUUGACUAUAGCUUUUUAUAACUAGCCUCACACCUUGUCGUAGUCUAUGCCAGCCUUUUGACUAUAGCUUUUUAUAACUAGCCUCACACCUUGUCGUAGUCUAUGCCAGCCUUUUGACUAUAGCUUUUUAUAACUAGCCUCACACCUUGUCGUAGUCUAUGCCAGCCUUUUGACUAUAGCUUUUUAUAACUAGCCUCACACCUUGUCGUAGUCUAUGCCAGCCUUUUGACUAUAGCUUUUUAUAACUAGCCUCACACCUUGUCGUAGUCUAUGCCAGCCUUUUGACUAUAGCUUUUUAUAACUAGCCUCACACCUUGUCGUAGUCUAUGCCAGCCUUUUGACUAUAGCUUUUUAUAACUAGCCUCACACCUUGUCGUAGUCUAUGCCAGCCUUUUGACUAUAGCUUUUUAUAACUAGCCUCACACCUUGUCGUAGUCUAUGCCAGCCUUUUGACUAUAGCUUUUUAUAACUAGCCUCACACCUUGUCGUAGUCUAUGCCAGCCUUUUGACUAUAGCUUUUUAUAACUAGCCUCACCUUAUGUAUUUCAAUUUCUCCCUUCGCAUUUCUUUUCGUUUUAUAGACCCAUUUGACAUCGAUCACCUUGUGACCUUUAGGAAGAGUAGUAAGCUCCCAAGUAUCAUUCUUCACAAUGGCUUUAAGUUCUUUAUCCAUUGUAAUUCUCCACUUCUUAUCUAGUGCAGUUUCUUGGAAGUUGAUUGGCUCACAAUCAACAAAGAGGCAAAAAAGAGUGAGAUUAUCAUGUCUCUCAAUUACCUCAUAGAGGUAUUGAAGACUCCUUAUACAUUCUUCGGUUCUUUUAUUUAAGAAAGAUUGUAGUGAACCUCCACAUGUGGUUGAUGCUGGUGAGAUAGGUGGAGUAGUUGGCUCUUGUUGUUCUUCUACUUGUUUUAUUUGUGUAUGAUCAUAUUCUUCAAUGGGAAAUAAGUUGAAGUCAUCCACAUGAGAGCCAAAAUCCCAUUCUCCUUUUUCAUCAAAAACUACAUCCCGACUUAUCACGAUCUUCCCGUUGUUUAGAUUAUAAAGCUUGUAUCCUUUCGAAUUGUUGUCAUAGCCGAUGAAAAAUAAACUUCUCACUUUUGUGAUCCAGCUUGGUUCUACUUUCACCUGGUACAUGUACACGGGCAAUACUUUCGAAAACUCUUAGAUGGGUUAUGCCGAGCUUUCUUCCACUCCAAGCUUCUUGUGGCGUCUUGUCCCACACGCUUUUGUUGGAGAUUGAUUGGAUAAGUAGACUGCACAUACAACAACUUUAGCUCAAAAUUCUUUAGGCAGCCUCUUACUUUUAAGCAAGCUUUUUGCCAUGUCAAGGAUGGUUCUGUUCUUUCUUUCUACAAUACUAUUUUGUUGUGGGGAUUUUAGAACUGGUAAAGGGCAUCGAAUUCCAUUUGCUUCACAAAACUUUACGAAUUCUAUUUGCUUCACAAAACUUUACGAAUUCUUUGGAAGUGAACUCUCCACCUCGAUCAGAUCUCAUGGCUUUAAUGUGGUAUCUACUUUCUUUUUCUACUGCAGCUUUAAACUUCUUGAAAGCUUCAAAGACUUCUGAUUUCUGCUUCAAAAAAUACACUCAACUUUUUCUUAAAAAAACAUCUAUGAAGAGAAGGAAGUAAUUACUUUUACCAAGGGAGCUUGGCUUGAAUGGACCGCACACAUUAGUAUGAAUGAACCCGAGUGGCUUCUGAGCUCUUGAGUUUGAUUCCUUUGAAAAGCUCUUUCUGAACUACUUGCCAAGUAAGCAUCCUUCACAAAGUUGAUCAGGGUGAUUGAUGCAUGGUAAGUCUUUCACCAUGUUCUUCUUAGAUAGUAACUCCAGUCCUCCAAAGUUGAGAUGCCCAUAUCAAAGAUGCCAAGUCUAAGAUGGAUAUUUGUGACAUAUUUUGAGACAUUUUGCAACAUCAUUUUGAAUAAUUAAAGGAAACAUUCUAUUCUUCGACAUUUUUACCUUUGUAAUAAGAUUUCCUUUGUCAUCUCUUAAGAAAAGAUUACAAUCUUUUAAGUGAAUAUCAUAGCAUUUUUCCAAAAGUUGACCAAAAUUAAAGAUGUUUCUUUUUAUAUUGGGCACAUAGUAAACAUUCGAAAUUAUUUAGUGGCUACCAUUUUUUGCACGAAAAAGAAUGUUACCUAUACCCUUCACUGGUACUUUUGAAUCAUCUUCAAAAGCAACACUGCCAUUCACAGAUUUAUUUAGUUCCAUGAACAUGCUUAUGUUUCCACUUAUAUGAUUGCUAGCACCUGUGUCAAGAUAUCAUGUAUUUUCUUGACCUACACUUGUGUUAUUGCGUGCUAGUAAAAGUGUGCCAUCUUUACCAUUUUUCUCUUCUACAUAAUUCACUCUCUCAUUAAUUCUGGUACUUGGAGUUCUACAUUCUGAAGCAUAAUGCCCAAACUUAUGACAAUUAUACUUGGGAUUUGUGAUACCUUGAUCUUGGAUUGCCUCUGCCUUGUCCUCUGGUUGAGCUUUCUCCGUUGGCAUAAUUGGAGUUGUUGUUGUUGAAAUUCUAACCUCGUCCAUGACCACGACCUCUACCUCGAACAUAAUACCUUCUCUCAUUGUCGGAGCUUUCUUCUCUUUUCUUUGGAUUGAUUCCAUAUUGAGAAGUUGUUCUUCAAUUCCUUACUACUUUUUUAGUUUUUCUUCAUAGGCUUGCAACCUUCCUCGAAGUUGCUCGAUCGUCAUAUCCUCCAGAUCUUUUGUUUCCUCAAUUGUCACAACAAUAUGGUCAAACUUCAAGUAUACUGAUCGAAGUAUCUUUUCAAUGAUCCUUACCUGUUUUAACUCCUUGCCAUUUCCUUUUAAUUCAUUGGAAACGGUCACAACUUGAGUAAAGUAGUAAAAAAUUGACUCUGAUGACUUCAUGUGUAAGGACUCAAUUUCUCCUUGUAAUGUUUGGAGACGAACCUUCUUAACUUGCUCCGCUCCUUUGUAAGAAGUCUUUAGUUUCUUUCAUACUUCUUUUGAGGAGGUUACACUAGUAAUCUUUUCAAAAACAUAUUCGUCUAAUGAUUGAAAGAUAAGAUACUUUGCUUUAUUCUCUUUCUUCUUUAAGUCUUUUAAAUUCUCCUUCUGCACCACAGUUAAAGUGGUUUCAUUUUCUGGCACAAUAAAACAUUUCUCCACGACAUCCCAUACGUCAUGUGCACCAAACAGAGCCUUCAUUUUAAUACUCUAAUUGUCCAACUUACUUCCCUUUAAUUGUGGAGCUUGAAAUGACAUCAUACCAACAUUUGCCAUAACUCACAAAUUGAGUGAGAAUUUUGAGAUUCUGAAUGCACAGAUAGAUCCGGUACGUCGAGAAACCUUGGAAGGGACUUGAGUCAAUUUUCAAUCAACGAUCAAUUUUUGGUCAAUGGUCAUGUCGGUCAAUGGUCAACUAUAGUGUAGUUGACUUGGUUCGAUCCGGGUUAGUUCGGUUCUAGUUGGCUCGGUUCGACUUGAUUCGGUUCAGCUCGGCUCGGCUUGGUUCGGUUCGGCUCAACUUGGUUCGGUUGGUUUCAGGUUGGUUCAACUCGGUGAGUCGACUCAACUUCAGGACAUAAAACUUCUGGCAGUGAGUGUGGGUGAGUUCGGCCUCCGAUCGGGCUGAGUUUUGUGGCAUUACGUUCCUCUCAUCGAGAUCUUCCAUUUGAUAUGCUAUAUGAUUAUAUAUAGCAUCGAACACUAGCUCUAAUACUACUUUGUUGGAGAAUCAACAAAUGAUUAAACUAAUGUAUCAUGGGGCUAUAAAAGAAAGAGAAGAAGAAAAGCUUUCAUUGGAAAUUUUGGAUUCUCUAAGAUAUGAAACAUGAGAGACCUUGAAAAGAAAGAAAGGAAAAAAAAACCUAAAAUUGAGAUUUCUUAAAAAAUGGAAGAGUAAAACAGAGUUAAAAAAUGGGAGUAAAUUCUUAAAAAUAUACCAAGGAGGAAAAUAAAGACAUGAGAGAAACAAAUUUUAAUGGAUGCUCUUGUGGACGUAAAAGAAAAAUGAUCCCAAUGUUAGUUUAAAGACAAGUUUUGAUGGACACUCUCAUGUAGAAUCUAUUUAAUCACACACGAUGAGAUUGAGUUUUUAAAAAUGUUAUCAUAAAUGAAAUUAGGUUACUAGACUUCUCUCUCUCUCUCUAUACAUAUAUAUAUGUGUGUGUGUGUGUAUCUAUAAAAUUAUUCUCAGGUGCACGUGCCCUCAUUUUUUUUUUUUUUAAUGCGGACACUUUAUUAAACCACAUGAUUUAACAACGUGUCUGCAUAAAAAAAAAGGGGGCACUUGUAUGAGAGAAUGACUCUAUGUAUAUAUAUAAUCAUUUCUUACGAAGCAUAAGGCCUCCCCUAAAUCCUAAAACGGGCAAUAUCAAUACAGUGCAAAGAAACAAGUUGUAAUUACAUUUUUCUAAAGAAAACUAUGGGACAUGGUUUGAAUCAAGAUACUUGGGGUGCUUUUCGACACCUAAGUCACCCUUAACGAAGCUAGCUAAUUGGAGUCCAAUUUCAAUUAUAGAUGAAUUUAUCUUGCAAUUUCAGACUGCAAGAAAAAAAGGUUUUUAGAUCUUCCAAGGAAAGUUACGGAUGUGGGUUUUAAAUCAAGAUACUAAUUAGUAAUUAACCAGGCUAUACCAUCAUUGAAGUCUAAUUUCGAUUAUAUAUGUAUGAGUACUUCACUGCCUUCAUUAAUCUCAAACUCAUGUGAACUUGAUAGCAUCCAAACAAAUUACCAAAGCAUAAUUUUCUAAAUUGUUUAGAAGAUCACAGCUGUUACCAGUGAAUAUUUCUGUUAAAAGUUUAUGACAACAAAUUACUGCUAAUAAAUGAUCAUUUCGUACGUUUUCAAGCAUCUGCAGACUGCAAAACUAAAAAGCCAGCGUCUCAAAACAAUUGGGAAAAUAUUAAAAAAUAUAUGCCAAAAAAAAAAGAAGAAGCAUACUUAAGGAUCUUGAAAAACUUGUCAAAUUUUGGAUGCCACAGUGAAGAUAUUAAACUGCAAUUUUUUCUUUUUUUAAUAAUUUUUGCUUUGUCACAAAUGAGAUUGACUAACAUACCCUCGAGUAGAAUCUAACUACUGUACCACCAUUUGGAUGCUUAGUCGAUAAAAAAUAUCUUUGAAAAAAUUAGCGUUUUUUGUUUUCGACGUAUUUGUCCAAGAAAGAUUUUAUGUUUUGGAUUUUGGUCUUGUCAAUGGUGAGUGAGUACCGAUUUUCAAGUUUGUCUAUACGUUGAAUUAAUUGUAUGUUUUAUUAGUGGGGUGUAUAGCACAUACAUAGAGAGAGAGAGAGACGACAGCCUUGUGAAUAUCAUUAUGCUGCUUCCUGCAAAUCUUAUACGAUUGUUAUUGAAAUUUUGUACCUUGAUAAGAGCAUUCAUUGAUAAAUAUGUUUCAGUGUUAUAAGACUUUUGAUGAACGUCUAGGGAGUCAUCUUAAUUUGAGAUGUAUGGUACAUGCAUGAAACGUGUGUAGCAAUUGAACUGUAGUGAUACAACAUUAAUCAAUUUAACCCAUUGGAUACAAAAUUUAAGUUAUUAUAGACCAUGAUAGUGAUGAAUGCCAAUUCACAUCGAGCGGAAUCGGUAUUAGAAGUCAUGUAGAUUUAAAGAGAUUAAUAAGGUAAUGGGUUCGAAAAUUAAUUGCAAUUGACACAGUACUUAAAUCUGUAAGAAUUUGAAUGUGAAACUUUAUUUGUUUUGAUACUGUAUUUGUGAAACCAUUAAAAUUUUGUAAUAAGGACCAAAACUAGUGAAAAAUCUUAACUGAUAGAAGCUGAUUGAGGAAAAAAUUGAACACCACUAACACUGUCUCUAAUACUGUGUAAUUAUUGUUUCACUGAAUUACAAGCUUAAAGUAUUAAGCCAAUGCCCAAAAUUAUUAAUUUUAAACCAAAAAAAAAAAAAUCUAAUACCAAUGCCCAAAAUUAUUAAUUUUAAACCAGCUUAAAGUAUUAAGCCAAUGCCCAAAAUUAUUAAUUUUAAACCAAAAAAAAAAAAAGAAAAAGAAAGAAAGAAAGACGUACCUUACAGUUUUAACUUUAUAAAAAGUUUCGUUAGCCAAUAUAUAGAUUUUAUUUAUUUAUUUAUUGUAGAAGUAAGGGAUCCUGCUAUGUUGGUUAUGCUCUAACUUAGAGCAUCUCCAACAUAUCAAUUUCCAGAAGUAAGAAGUCAAGGGUUCAAUCCAAUGCGUAACUGAUUGGUCGUGGUUUUGUUCAAUAAUUUCGCAAAACAACAGAAAUGAAAUAAAAUUAUAUACCACCAUAAUUAAUUAAUCAACGGAUUCUGUUUAGAUUCUGUGCUUGAUUGUAUAUCAAUACCAUCAUAUUUUUAUCAAUAUUUUAAAUUCAAUUAUAUUGUUGUGGUCUGAAUGAUUUUUAUUUUUAAUAUUUUUACGAAUUUAUUGGUGUUCGGUUGGAUAAUAUUUAAAGUAAUAACAAACAUAGGUUUUAAUGGAGUGAAAUUGUAAGGGAUGGUAACUAAAUCUUGUUUCUUAUUGUUUAAUGAUAAAGACUGAAUUCAAUAUGAAGUGGUCUGAUAUUGUAAAUGCAUUGCAGGUAAAUUGAAAUUUUUUAUACGAUGGGAGGAAGUGCGAUUGAUGAUGAUUGGGAGCUUACUUCUCCAUCUAAUGGGGUGCGCACUGUGGUUUUUGUUGGCCGUACUGGCAAUGGCAAAAGUGCGACGGGCAACAGUAUUCUUGGAAGAAGAGCCUUCAAGUCGAGGGCUAGCUCGUCUGGUGUUACUAGUACUUGUGAAAUGCAGAGAACCGUGCUCAAAGAUGGCCAAGUUGUUAAUGUCAUUGAUACCCCCGGUAAUUUACUAAUGUCGUUGCCUAGAUAUUCCAUUUCCAUGCCUGUUGAUGUUGUGGUGGUAAGUAGAUUGAUGUUAUCGUAAUAAAAAAAAAAGGGUAGAUUGAUGUUAUGAGCAAUUGCAGGACUUUUUGAUUUUUCUGCUGGCUCUGAGUUUGUCGGCAUGGAAAUUGUCAAAUGUAUCGGUCUGGCCAAGGAUGGGAUCCAUGCAGUCCUUGUAGGUUUCUCUGUUAGAAGCCGUUUUCCUCAAGAGGAAGAAGCUGCACUACACAGUUGGCAGACCUUGUUCGGGAAAAAAGUUUUUGACUAUAUGAUUGUUGUUUUCACUGGAGGGGAUGAACUUGAAGAUAAUGAGGAAACGUUGGAAGAUUAUUUGGGUCGUGAGUGUCCAAAGCCUUUAAAGGUUUGUUUCUGAACGGCAAUAGUGUUUGAUAAUUUCAUUAGUCAUUUUGAUCAAGUUGUCUUGGGUUGGUUCCUUUUUGAAGUUUUAGACUCCUUUACGGUUGGACUAUUGGAAGUUUAAUAUGAAUAUAUCCAUGCUGAAAAUACUAGACAGGUUCAUAGUAGUCCAGCCGUCUUAAAGUUCCACAUUCAAUAUUGCUUCAUUUCCUGAAUGAUUUUCUUCUGCCAUGGGGUAUUGGCCGGAGGGGGUGAUUGGUUGGUAAUUUUCUGCUGGCAUUACUUAAUUUUAGUUAUAUUUUAAUGUCUUUGAAUGAGAUGUCAUUCAUUCAUUUGCCAAGCAUUUAUGCUUUUCUUAUUUGUAUUCUUUGAUUUCAUCUGUUAUUUAAUCUUUGGUUCUUAUUCUAUUAAUGUGUGUUCAUUUGUUUGUUCCUUAAAAUAUGUACAUCAUUGAUUUAUAUGCUUAAAAUUAACCUACUUUUAAGAUUUUAGAAGUGCGCCAACGAGGACAUGACUUGCUAUACAGGUCCAUUUUAUUAGGUGUUGUUUGAAUAGAAUAUCAAGUCUAACUUUACAAGAUUUAAAAUUCUCUUAAAAAUCCCUGUGGAUUCUAGCCUCAGAAUUGGUGUCUAAAAUUUCAAUGUGAGAUCGCUUUUCAGUUUUAACAUGCAAAUCUCCUAUAUUCAGCAUUUACUUGAUGAAUUUGUUUCCUAAAACUUUUUAAGUUGAGAAAGAUUUAUAUCGAGUUCCUCUAUUUUACUGCAUACUUGAUUAAACCUAUGAGGAGUUGGAAGAAAAACAACAAAAAUGGAGAUAAAGACCCUUCAAGUUGUAGCUUUGCAAUUAACAAAAUCGGGUUAUUUUACAGUUAAAGUGAGCUUUGUUUUUCUUAUUGUAGUAAUUUUUGUAGUUUGAAGGAAUCAAAAUUUUUUAAUUAUAAUGCCGCAAAAUUUUGUCAAUUAUGUAGCUGCCACAGAAAAUAUGAUCAUGUCUUUUGGUUUGAGCUUUGGUCACUUGAGUUUGUUUAUGACAAUAGUACAAUCUUUCAGGCUUUGUUCUAUAAUGUAAGAAUUUGUGAGUAGGCAACUACUGCUUUGUAGCCACUAAUUUUGAUUGGGUCAAUGCUUUUCACUGGAAUAUAUGCAGAUUAUUAUUAUUAUUAUUAUUUUCUGUUAUAUGGAAUGCUGAUCACCUUAUUCUAAGUGGUCAACCCAUAAGGAGAAUGGAAUUAAUUAUUAAAAUUUGAUUAUGGCUUGCUUUUAAAUAGUUUUUGAGGAUGCAAGAUAUUAAGUAUCAAUGAUAACAAUAAAAACAAAUUUUGUCAGCUGAAUACUUUCAAACUUUUAGAGACUACAAGUGUUUGAUUGGUUUAUCAAUGCUUACAAAAGGGGCCAACAUUUGCUUUAUUCCUGAUCAUUUUUCCAUUAUUUUAGGAAAUCCUUCAACUAUGUGAUAAUAGGCGCGUGCUUUUUGAUAACAAGACCAAGGAUGAGGCCAAGAGAACUGAGCAGGUUUGGAAGCUUCUUUCUCUGGUUAACUCUGUGGCCGUGCAGAAUGGUGGGCAGCCAUAUACAGACGAUAUCUUUGCUGAGUUGAAGGUGACUUCAUUACUAUAAAGUGUGCAGGUACCUGUAAUGAUAUUCUAAAUUGUGAGACUUGGAGGAGGUAAAGACUGCCGCUGUGUCCUUACCCCUAGAUUGUUAGAGAUUGCCAUCUGAAAAGAGGUUUUAUCUUGCUAGUUGAUAGGGACAAAUUUGUUAUUAAGUUAUCUGUUCACUGAUAGUGUUUUGAAAGCUGUAACAUAUUGUUCUUACCUUCAAGAUUGUUUGACUGUCUUGUUCUGUUUUGUUUCUUGAUGAAAUUAAGUAGAUUGCUCUAUAGUAGUAGCUAUAGGUGGUUUGCUCAUCAUGACUUGCACUUAGGAAUGGAUUCUACACUUGUUUAGUCAUCAAUAAUAAGAACAUUUCUUGUAAUACUGUAGAUCCUGUUUUGGUUCUAGGAAUUUUGCACUCCCGAAUCUGUGGGAACAUUUGAAAUGUUAUUAGCAAGUUAUGUCAUAUUCUAAUUUUGUUAAAAACAGAAUAGCCACAUUCAAAAUAAGUUUUUUGGAAAAUAUAGUUAGGUACAUGGAACCUAAUCAAAUAGCUGUGUAGUUUAAAUAUUCCUUUCCACAGUUUUAAUUUAUAUUCAACAUUAAUCUGGAUUUGCUGUAACGGUUUGUGUACUGUGUCUGAUGUGCUAAUAAGUUUUACUCUCCACAAUCCUGGAGUGUGGCAAAAUGAAAAAGUUAGUAUAUUCUUUAAUACCUUAUAUUUUGGGUUUAUCUGUUUAUUUUUUUAAGCUUUUGUUUCUACCUUUUGUCAAUGAUUGAGAGAAGAAAGUUGUGCCGAAUAAGGUGAACUUAGCAACUCCCUUUGCGAUUGGAUUAAACUAAAUAAAUACUUAAGAAUUUUCUUCUUUUAAGUUGGAGUUUUAUAUUACCAUUACCCAAUCUUUGUUUAUAUUAUACUGCUACUCUAGGGCUUAGUGGCUUGUUUUCUGACUGAUAUUGAUGCUUUUUUGAUAGGUUGAGUCUAAGCUCAAAGAGACAACAACUAGGCUCGAACAACAAUUGGCAGAGGAGCAAGCUGCUCGAUUAAAGGCAGAAGAGGUUGCACAAUUAGCUCAAAUGAAGUCGAAUGACGAAAUUCGUAAGCUUAGAGAGAAUCUUGAAAGAGCUCAGAGGGAGACUGAGGAGCUCCGUAAGGGAGCUGAAAAAGGAGGGUGUGCCAUUCUUUGACCUAAUCACCUGCAGGCACUAUAUGCCAUUGGCAUGAAAAUCAUCUAAAGUGUAUUUUUUCCGUCUCCCGUACCUUUUCAGAUAAUAUUUGAAGUUAAUACUGCAUUUAUUCUUAGUGUUUUACUACAGUCAAGAAGCUUGUAUCCUCUAUUAUGUAAAUGUUCCCAGUCCAAUCUCUGAGUGCGGUCUUAAGAUAGUAUGGAAAAAUUGUAUUGACAUCAAAUGAAGUUUCUUUUAUGGAGCCGCUUAGAAUCUUUUCUUACACGGUGAAUCCAAAGAGAUUUGAUUCCUUUUUCUCCUCCGGCUAUCUUGUUUCCACAUUUGUAACAGAUACAACCCAAAAUAUGCCCUUUUAGCAAUCAAUGAUUUUCCCAAAAACUCGAACGUACACUCGAGUUCACUUGUACCUUCACUUUUUUGUUUUCGCUCUUCUAAUGUCAUAUCACUUUGUAUAAAUAGUUUGUUUGUAUAUUAUUUACUCCUUUCACAUAAUAGGGUAAUCCUAACAUCUAAGAGAGUUGCAAUAAAAACCUAUUUGAGAUUGAGGUGCUGUAACUUUUAAACUACAACUGCUGUAUAAAAAAAACUAUAAUUAUGAAAUAAAAGUUAAUAGUGCAUAGUAGAUAUAAAUUUUAAUAAUAAUUUUGAUAAAAUUAUUAAAGAUAUAAUAGAUUUUUCAUCAUACAAGUGAAAAAUCAUAUCAAAAUAGCUUUGAAGCUACAACAGUUAGUGUUUACCAAACACUUUAAUGUUGUAGAUUUUAAGCUACAACUGAAGCUACAACUGCCCAACUUCAAUCCCAAACGCAUCCUAAAACCACCAAACCUAUGACCCUUCUUCGAUUCACACCAAACUUCAACUAGCUGAUAGUCUAGGUUUAUCAAGUACAAUAUUUAUUUAUGCAUAUAUGACACAAUCUUUAUUUACCUUAUACAUACUGCAAAUCCUUCGACAUUAUACAGCAUCAGUUUUAUAGAUAUUGAGUUUCAGCAUAAUAAUUGGUCUCCCAAGGAGAAGAAGCCAAUGAUAAGUCAGCGUAAGUAAUUAAGUUACACAUAAACUCAUCCAGUUUCAUAUAUUAGUGGUUUCAAAAAUAAGUAUCAGGUUUCAAAAAUAAGUAUCAAGUAGCACACACAUUUAGUAGAUAAUGUAGUCUGAUCGUAGAUCUCGUACUGAGAUGCCACAAGCUUGAUCUCCAGCAUCUAGCUUAUCUGCAAACGGGAGAAAACAUUAAUGCACACGCAACACGAGCGUGUAGAAAUGAAAUGCGAUGGGAGAAUUAAUUACCUGAGAUGGAGUAUCUUCUUGUCCGGGUGAGAGUAAGCAGUGCCACCACCCUCGAUGAUAGGAGGACUGAAGAAAAUCCGAGAAGCUAAUGCAUAGAUUGCAUUCAGCUCUUGCCCAGUCACCAUGUUUGCUUGCUAAAACCUCUCCAUUUCUGCUAUCUGAGUUUCAGAAACAAUGUAAUUUUAAUAACGUGCUGAAAUUUUGGAAGAGGGCGAGAAAAAAUGCAUUAUACAUACAAUGGACUGAUUUGCAUACCUUUGAUCGGAGACACACGCUUUCAUUUGCCAGCUCAACCUCCUAUGAAAAUGAAAAUGUUAAAGAUUUCCAUAAAAGCUUGGAAGAAAACGAAAAAAUGGCUAAACAGGAUUUAAUGAAUUUUAAUUAUUACCCAUUUCUGCAAGAACUCAAUUUCAGGUAGCAGCAUUUCAUGCUGUUGCACAGAAUGACAUAAAUUGCAACAAAUUAUUUUUAAAAUGACAUAAGUUACAUAUACUGAACGUAUAUCGAUAAAGUUUAUGCAAUGUAUUAUUGCAAAACAAUUGUGUAUUGCUCAAAUUCAAUUAUUUGUUUCGGUCGAUUUCAUGCAUGCAUAAUGCAAUUAAUUAAUUACCUUCCGGGACCUGAUCCUAGUGAUGCCUCGCUCAAGCCUGUUCUCCAGUUGCUUAAGCUCCUUUACAGUUAAAGAACUCAGAGAAUCACCCAUCAAAUGCCUAUAUGAAGUGUCAAAAGUGAGAUAACCAAUCGAAAAUUCAAUUGAAAUUGUAUAUUUUGGCAUAAUUAAUUAACUAUAUCAACAAAGUGUUGGCUCCACUGGCAAUGGAGUCCCCUUAAGUGGCUUGACUGGGUUUGCUCCCCAGUUCGAGUCGCAGGGAAGUCGCCUUUGUUGGGAGAACCUGUGCCUCUCGGUUCGAGCGGGGACUACUAGUCUGGGUUGUGGUACGGGCUUAAAGGUGCCUCCCACAGUUGGGGCCCUCCCCAGGAUACCUCGUGAUUAAUAUAAAAAAAAAAAAUUAAUUAACUAUGCUUAAUAUGAAAAUAGUUGUUGAUGAAAUAAUUGAAAAUACCUGUUAGAAUUCUGUGACAUUUGAAUUUGCUGCCGUAGCUUUGCUCACUCCUGCUGAUAGUACUGUUUCCGUGGGUCGCAUGUAAUGGGAGAAGUUAAAUUUUUAUUGGGAACUUUAUAUUUCAAUGCUAGCUAUGUGGUAAUAAAUGAUAAUAACCUGUUUUUUUUUCACCUUUUCAUAAUAAUAUAUAUUCCUAGCAACGCCUGAAUUUAUAACUUAAAUUAGUGAAUUACUUACCUGAGCAUUGAUCUCAGUAACAGUGCCAAAAUUUAUUUAUUUUAUAGCUUAAAUUUCAUACAUUUACACAGACGCACACACACUAGGAACAACAGGUUCUAUUAAUCAAAUUCAUCUAAAAAUAACUAACCAGAUAGCUCAGCUUCUUUUCUUUCCUACUGAAUUUCUACACUUGGUAGAUUCUCAGCAGGUUUAGCAAUAACCUUCAGGAACUCCAGAUAAUCCGGGUCUUUAUUGUCCAAAUCAAACCAAAUAUAGCUUAAUACUACAGUACUUCUAAAAACAAUAAGAAGAUAAAGAAAAUAAAAGUAUGCUUGUAAUUGUUGAGCUUUUACUUAACUUUGAAAUUUUGUAGCUUAAGUGUAUUGGUAAAAGCCACAGCACCUCCACCCCAAAAGUAGCCUAAUUUUUUUUUAAAAAAUAAAUAAUUACUUUUAAAAAUGGUGCUUUCACGACUAUCCUCUCUAGAACAAGGUUUGAGAACACGUUGAGAUGAAGCGUAUUCAACAAUAGCCUUAAAAUGAGCACCUAAUGGAGAACCCAAUAACACAUAUAAUUAACCAAACAUAAAGUGCCCUUUUCAAUUUAAACAACAUAAACGCAUUCAUACCAAAUUAAGAUUGAUAAGUAAAAGCAAAAGGGUAAGCAAAAUUACCCUUUUCAUUAACAAACACAUGUCCAUUCAACAACUCAGCAAUCUCAAACACAUCCGCAGGCUUCUUCAAUUCUUAAUAUGCUCGUGAAUGGACAAAGAAAGAAAGAAAUUCUUCAGCUACACCCUUGGCUAUCACUCUCUCUCAGAACUCAGCUCCCUCCUCUACUAGCUUCUCCCUGCAUUUCCUUGCCCUUUUAUAGGCAAGGAAUGCAUUAUCUUUAUUUAUUUUGUUAUUAUAAUAUAUAGAAAUCUAAGCAAGAAUUAGGCAGUUUCUGCAAGCAAUUCAAUUAUGAUCCCUUUAAAACUUCUACCUCCAAAGAUUGUAAUAGUAAGUGCUCUUCAACGCCUUACAAAAAACAUUACAAAUCUAAAAGCCAUAAAAAACCUUUUCAUAAUUUUAGAGAACUCCCUUAUAAGAAACCCUCGAGGCCUUAUAAGAUCUUGAGGUGAGGAGCUGCUCCAUGACUUUAAAAUAUUCUUCUUCAGAUUUGGCACUGGCCAACAGAGAUUGGGCUUUGGAUUUUUGGGUUAGGAAGGCCUUUUGGGCUUUCACUGCUUUAAUGGUUGGGGGUAAGAAGCCUUUAGAACAGAGCCAAUUGCGGAUUAGAGUGUCUGUCAAUUUAGACUGUUCGUCAAACUUUGACCACCAUUUUACUUUGAAUGUCCUUUGUAAGAUGAGCUGGGCAUCUUGGGUAUGGAAUCAUAUAUAUAUAUAUAUAUAUAUGUACAUUGAAAUGUGUAAUGGUCAAGUGGCCAUGACCAUCACGAGAAACCAAAUUGCUUGGUUUUUGUUCUUUUGUUUUUUUUUCAUUUUUUUAUUUUUUAUUCAUUUUCAUUUAUUUUAUUUUAUUUAUUUAUUUACAUUUCCUCAAUAAUGCUUCCAAAUUGCUCUAGCAGUUCUUUAUUUGUUCCCGCUUUCAAUUCCAAUUUAUUCCUGAAAAAUAUUUAUAAGAUAAAAAUUAACAUAUUGCGAAUUAAUUUAACACAAAACUUUAUUUGGGGAGCAUUCAUAUAAUUUAUAAGUUAUGUACGCAUUAAUCAACACUUUAAGUGAAAAACUAAAAAUUUUAUUCUUAUUACACGUACACUUUUUAGUGUUAAUCACACCCCCCAACCAACUUAUUGCUAGACCUUAGCAAUUUAAGCGAUAAAAAUUCAGAGAAAUUUCAAAACCAAAUUGAAAAUCUUUUUUUUUUUUGUUUGGAAAAAUUGUGUUUACUUCUUCCAUCAGAUUAAUGACAACAAUCAAAUACAAAUAUAAGCAUUAUCUUCAGCCUAAAGAAAAUCACACCCGCACAAAACAGUUCAGUAAAAUCCUGUAAAAUGAUCAAUUAUAAGAGCUACGUUAAUCAAGCCACUUUUAAGAAUGAUACAUCAAACCCCAAAACUUCACGAUUAAGAAUGACUCUCUAAAAAAAAAUAUAUCCCAAAUUAAACUGUCACUCUUAAAAUGGUAGAUUUGAGAGAAUAAUAAAACAAUAUCACACGCUCUCACCAAGAUAAAAAAAUGAUACCCACAGCUUAGAAAUAAAAUGAUCUCAAGUCCAAGGAAUUAUAGCAAAAUCUAUUUUUAUUUUUAUGCAUCACCACGUCUUUUAAUCCAUAUCACCAGCUUUACUUCAGACUAUAGUUCCCUAAAAUCAAGGACUUUUGUUAGGAUAUAACGUAAGCUAGGGUUAUGGCUAACAAAAAAGGUAAUAAGGAAAAUAAAAAUAUAUGUUUGAAAAAUAGGGGACUUUUUGGAGAUUACAAGGUGCUUUUUUUUUGGAAUUUUUUUCUUUUUUUAAAUUUUUAUUUUUAUAUACAUAUUCUUUUUUUUUCAUAGCACCAUUAUUAUGAAUACAUAAUCAUCCCUAUUUUCAAACAUAAUUGGGUGAUGGAAAACAUAAAACAUAAGGUUAUACUCCACAUUGGAGUAGGAAAAGAUGAUAGGUUAUCAGAGAAAUUUUUUUUUUUCAAAGGCUUAAAGGGGUUAACUAUGGAUUCUUUGUAACAGGGUUGGCUAGAAAAUCUCAAACGGAUCAAAGAUGACCUUCUGUCAUUUUUUAGGGCUUUAAAUAAUCUUUCAUAUCCACUAGUUCAAUGGACUUUUAGAUGCGGCUGCACAAACUCUCUUUUUUUUUUUUUACUUUUUUUAUAAAGAAAAUAUUGAGAUCUUGUACAAUAAAUUGUGAAGUUGUAUAGGCAAACAUGGUUACUCUCCAAGGAUAAUAGGCUCAAAAACUCACUUGGACUUUUCAUAACAUGUACAUUCCUCCAAAUGACUUAAUCAAUUUCACUCAUCCAAUUUCUCAAUUUACGUUUCAACAUGCAAAGGGGAAAACAUAGUGUAACAUAACUCAAUGCCAAAGAUAAUAUGAAUACCAAAAUUUGAAAAUCAUCAUGUUAUCCAAUGUUAAAAGAUCACAUAAAAAAAGAAAUCUUUUUUAAUUAAAGAAAACACUAAAAAAUUGGGACUGAUUGCAGAAACUUAAGGAAGAUAAUUAAGAGAAAAAGAGAAAAAGAAAAAAAAAGUUAAAAAACAAUUUUUUUUUUUUGGGAAAACAAAACACUAAAUUUAAAAAGAUGCGUUUUUAGAGACACUACAUUCUAUAUUCUACCAUCUUCGACUUAAAUAUUUAUCCAAAGUUAGUUUUUACAAUAAAAAUUAUAAAAAACAUCACCAGGACUGAGAUAUUCCACAAUUGUCAGCUAUUCCCUCCCUCCAACAUGAAGGAGACAUUGUCCUCAAUGUCUAAAGAAAGGAGUAGAGUUUAGAAUAUAUCACUUGGCCACUACUGGAAAUAUUUACAAACAGAGAGUUAAAUCUAAUUUACACUUUUUACGAGAGUUACUACCAUCGUCAUCAGUUGCCCAAUCCAACGCCAAAGUCAUGGGAUCUGGCUUUAGUUUGUAAGCUUGCAAAAGAUCAAGUAACUCAUUAGCAGUAGGAGCACAAAUGAAGAGUUUUUUCGCUGAGGAUGGAAUGAAAUGAUUUUUAAUUGCAUGAUUAAGAAAUGUUAUUAAGCCAUCAUAAAAGUUAUUAACAUUUAACAAACCGAUGGAUUUUUUAUGGAUAUUCAAAUAGGCCCAAGAAGCAAAUGUAAUUAGCGCCUCUAAAGUUGUAAGGUCUCCUGGCAAGAAAAUGAAAGCGUCAGCAUGAUUUAACAUUUCAGAUAUUCUUUCUUGCAUACCUGAGAUAACUAACUCUUCUCCAAUUGGUGUGUUUGGUAGACAUCCUAAAGGUUUUAAGGCUUUUGGAAUAAUGCCUAACACUUGGCUUCCUCGAAUGAAAGCAGCUUCAGAGAUAAGUUUUGAUAACACUCGGUCACCUCCUCCAUAUACAAGAUGAAGUUUCCUCUCUGCUAUAACACGACCAAGAUCUAUGGAUGCCUAAACAAACUCCUUAUACUUUCCAUAGCGAAAUCUAUAAAGCACAUAAAUGUUCUUUAGUUGUCUGCUUGAAGUUGCUGGCAUUAGAAAAAUUAUAAAAAGAAACAAUUUGUGAGUGCUUGAAAAUGAGCUCCUAUUUAAGGAUCUUGGUGACGUACAUAAUGAUAUACAUCUGUAAAUGGGGUGGUGUGUUUGUCAAAUGAUGCGUGAAACUUUUAGCUUAAUAAUUCAAAGGCAAACAGUGAAAAGAAAAAGCAAACAAUGAUUAUAUAUAAAAAAAGACGUGAUUAUAUAUAAAAAAAGACACACAAUAAUAAUAAUAAUGCAAAAGAUAAAAGAACAAUAAAAUAAAAGGAUAUUUACUGGUAGUUAUGAUUGUGGCUCACAUCUUCCUCUGGUUUUACGUCCAGUAAUGGCUCGAAUGCCCUCUAUGGGUCGAGGAUAGACUUCCCAUCCAAUUUUCUUAUAAACUGGCAAACAGGGUCUUUUAGAGUUAGAUUCCCAAGACUAAACUGUGCGCUUUCCUUUUGGAACAACUUCCACAAAUUUUGAAUUUCACGUAAAACAUAUCCGCUCGGAUGCGUCUCAAGAGAUUGUAAGAUAUCAUCCAACGAUUCUUUACUCAUGUCAUCUUUAACGAAUUUGAUUUAAUCUUCAUGAUUUACAGAAACCAUUCCUAAAGUUUUACAACGUGGCUUUUUGCAAGCAAGUCUUACACAGUGAGAACAUUCAGAACCAAGUCGCUUAGCUCUUCUUUUAUAAGCAAAUGUACUUUUACCAAAACCCGGCAUGUAGGAAAUGAAUGAAUCAGAAAACUCACCUGCCAGUUGGACCUUUGCUUCAAUUAACCAGCGAAUGUCAGCAGGAAUCCCAUUGAUCAUUAACAAACACAUCAUUCACAACGAGCUUUGUAAAUCUUCUUAAGAGCAUUUUGAGGGAGAGAAGGAAAAUGUUGAUGUAGAUUUCGUUGUAUUUCUUCCAUGCUGGACAUUGAGGUUUCAGUUAUUGUGGGAAACUGAGAAUACUGACUUAAAAAGUCACAGAGUACCAUUAUAUGCCAUUUAUACCGGAGAAUAGUAUUUUAUUAAGAGGUUACAAAUUGGUCUAGAUAAGGCACUAAAGUCUUUUAUAAACCUCCUAUAAAAUCCUGCAUGUCUGCUGUACCGUACAUCCGCCUUGGCCGUGGUGGUUGUAGAUCCCAAAUGAGAUGUGAUUUACAAAAUCAGAGCAAUUUCCUUAGGUAAACUUUUACAUGUAAAAGCUCUUUAAGAUGAUCGAAAAUGAAACUUCUGAUGGAGGUACUCAUGAUAAGUAUAAAAAUUUGGUGAGCUAAAGCACAAUUGUCAAAUAACACACAAUUAAAAAUAAUGCAAUGCACUCUAUUGAAGACAUAGGGAAAAGGAAAAAAAAAUCAAAUAAUUCAAACGAUAAAGUAACAGUAAAUCAAAUUCACAAAAAGUUAAAAUGAAAAGGCUCAAUUAAAAUUUGGUGGGUCACUUAAAUUGAUUUCAGUAUCUGUUUCACGUGGUUGGUAUUCCAGAUAUGGUUUCAAUCUUUGACCAUUAACUUUAAAUGUGACACCAUCAUUUGGAUUCUCAAUUUCUACGGCUGUAUAUGGAUACACAUUUUUUAUAACAAAUGGACCAUUCCACUUUGACUUUAACUUUCCUGGAAAUAAAUGAAGACGAGAAUUAUAAAGCAACACUUUUUAACCAAUUUCAAAUGUUUUCCGAAAAAUUCUUUUGUCAUGAAAAAAAUUGGUCAUUGCCUUAAUAAUUAUGGAAUUCUCAUAUGCAUCAUUCCUUAAUUCCUUAAGUUCAUUUAAUUGCAAUUUACGCACAUUACCAGCAUUAUCAAGAUUUGAAUUAAAAGCUUUAAUGGCCCAAAAUGAUUUAUGUUCAAGUUUAACUGGUAAGUGGCAAGAUUUUCCAUAAACAAGCCGAUAGGGUGACUUUACUAAAGAUGUUUUAAAAGCAGUAUGAUAUGCCCAAAUUGCAUCAGUUAGUUGAAGAGACCAAUCUUCACGGUUUGGAUUAACUGUCUUUUCUAAAAUUUGUUUUAUCUCCCUAUUUGCUAAUUCAACUUGACCACUUGUUUGAGGGUGAUAAGGGGUAGUAACUUUAUGUGUAAUUCUAUAUUUUUUCAUUAAGGACUCAAAUGACUUAUUACAAAAAUGCUCUUAUUACAAAAAUGCUUACCUCCAUCACUGAUAAUGGCUCGAGGUAUUCCGAAUCUGCUCAAAAGAUUUUCUUUUAAAAAACGGAUCACAAUCUUGUGAUCAUUAUGCCGAUAAGGAAUUGCCUCGAUCCAUUUUGAAACAUAAUCAAUAGCAACCAAAAUGUAUGCAAAUCCAAAUGAUGCUGGAAAAGGACCCAUAAAAUCAAUUCCCCAACAAUCAAAUAUUUCAAUGACAAGAAUGGGGUUUAAAGGUAUCAUGUUUCGCUUUGAAAUAAACCCUACCAUUUGACAAUUCUUACACACUUUACAUAAUGCAUGUGAAUCUUUAAAUAAUGUAGGCCAAUAAAAUCCACACAAUAAUAUUUUUGCAGCUGUCUUUUUUGAAGAAAAAUAGCUGCCGCAUGCUUCAGAAUGAUAAAUUUGAAUGACCCUACUUACCUCGUCGUCUAGUAUGUAUCUUCAAAAAAUUUGAUCAGAGCAGUACCUGAACAUGUAUGGAUCAUCCCAGCAAAAGCUUCUUACUUCUGUUAAGAAUUUCUUCUUGUCCUAGGAACUCCAGUCACAUGGCAUUUCACAUGUUGCAAGAUAAUUAACAAUAUUAGCAUACCAAGGCAUCAAGUUUAUAGAAAAUAAAAAUUCAUCAGGGAAAGAAUCAUUGAUGGGUGUUGUUUCAAUUGAAGACUCAUUCGUAAGUCUUGAAAGAUGAUAUGCAACAACAUUUUCAGCGCCCUUUUUGUCCUUGAUUGUCAAGUUAAAUUCUUGAAGUAGCAAAAUCCAUCGUAUCAACCUUGGUUUGGCAUCCUGUUUUGACAUUAAAUAUCUCACAAUAAACAAUAAUGAAUGAACUAAUUAAAUACGAACAAAAUUUAUUCAAUGCAAAUAUUACAGCAAGCAGUUCUUUCUCAGUUGUAGUGUAAUUCAUUUGAGCACUAUUUAAAGUUCUACUUGCAUAAUAGAUGACAAAGGGAUUACCUUCCUUUCUUUGACCCAGAACGACGCCAACAACAUAAUCACUAGCAUCACACAUUAGUUCAAAAGGUAAAGACCAAUCAAGGGGUUGCAUUAUCGGGGUUGAUGUCAAAAGAGUAGUUAUUUUUUCAAAAGCUUGUUGACAAUCUUUAGUCCAUUCAAAAUGUGGUCUUUUAUUAAGAGGUUACAAAGUGGUCUAGAUAUGACACUAAAGUCUUUUAUAAACCUCCUAUAAAAUCCUGCAUGUCCUAAAAAGGAACAGACUUCUCUAAUUAUCUUUGUUGAGGGUAAUUUUGAAAUGACUUCAACUUUGGCUUUGUCAACUUCAAUUCCUUUUGAAGACACAACAUGGCCCAAGACAAUUCUAGAAGUGGUCAUGAAAUGGCAUUUUUUCCAAUUUAAAACCAUUCCUUUUUCUUUGCACAUUUUUAAAACUUUUUCUAGAUUAUUAAGACCUAUAUCAAAAGAAUUACCAAAUACAGUUAAAUCAUCCAUAAAAACCUCAAGAUAAUUUUCAGCCAUGUCACUAAAAAUACUUAGCAUGCACCUUUAAAAUAUUGUAGAAGCAUUGCAAAGUCCAAAAGGCAUUAUCCUAAAUGCAAAUGUUCCAAAUGGGCAUGUGAAUGUGGUCUUUUCCUGGUCUUCUAAGGUUAUAAAGAUUUGAUAAUAGCCAGAGUAACCAUCAAGAAAGCAGUAGUAGGGAUGUCCAGCCACUCUUUCGAGAAUUUGGUCUAGAAAUGGCAGGGGGAAAUGAUCUUUUCUAGUGGCAUCAUUUAAUUUUCUAUAAUCAAUGCACAUUCACCAACUGGAUGGAAUUCGUGUUGGGAUUGGUUCACCUUUUUCAUUUUUUACAACGGUUAUUCCAGAUUUCUUUGGUACUACUUGUGUUGGACUUGCCCAUUUGCUAUUAGAGAUAGGAUAGAUAAUUCAUACAUCUAGUAGUUUAAGGACCUCAUUUUUUACCACUUCUUUCAUAUGAGGGUUUAGUCUUCUUUGUGGUUGACGAGUUGUUUUGGCAUUUUCCUCUAAGUGUAUUUGGUUUUUGCAAAUUAAAUGAUUCAUGCUUUUUAUGUCUUUUAAGGUCCAACCAAAUGCAAUUUUAUGCCUUUUUAAUACAUACAACAACUUACCUUCUUGAUCAUACGUGAGUUGGGAAGAAAUUACCACCAGAUAUGUCUGCUGCUCUCCAAGAUAGGCAUACUUCAAUUCUUCUAGUAAGGGCUUUAAUUCGAGCUUUGGUACUUCCUCUUCGUUUGGUUUUUCAGGUUGUACCGUAUUUUCAAAGUUCGAUUAGUCAUUGUCACAUGUAGGUACCUGCAUAGAAUCAAGUGUAGGGCAUAUGUUAGCAGUAUCACAAUCUAAUUCCUUAUUUGAUUCAAAAGAACCAGCAAAACAAAUUUCUGCACAGUUUGUAAAAUUCUCAUCUUGAAUGUGUUCCUCAAUGAUUGGCUCUAUGAGAUCAAUCUCCUCAUUCUCAUUAUCAUCAUGUUCUUGGUGGUGAAGGUGUUUACACAUGUUGAAUACAUUGAGUUCCAAUGUCAUAUUACCGAAAGAUAAAUUCAUUACUCCAUUCCUACAAUUAAUCAAAGCAUUAGUAAUAGCUAAAAAUGGUCGACCCAAUAUAACAGGAAUUUGUUUGUAUUCAUUAACAAUUGGUUCCGUUUCUAAAAUAAUAAAAUCCACAGGGUAUAUGAAUUUAUCAACUUGGACUAAUACAUUUUCAAUUAUUCCUCUUGGAACUUUAAUCGAUCUAUCAGCAAGUAAAUGAGUGGUAGAAGUUGGUUUUAACUCACCGAGAUUGAGUUGUUGGUACACUGAGUAAGGACGCAAAUUAACACUAGCACCAAGAUCAAGUAAAACAUGUUCAAUUUUAUGAUCCCCAAUAGUGCAAGAAAUAGGUGGACUACCAGGAUCCUUGUAUUUCAAAGCACUAUUGGUUAAGAGAAUUGAACUUACCUGUUCUGCUAGAAAAGCUCUCUUUUGCACCUUAUCUUUCCUUUUCACCGUGCAUAUAUCUUUCAGAAAUUUAGCAUAAGAAGGCACUUGUUUAAUGACAUCCAAUAAAGGAAUAUUGACCUUUAUUUGUUUAAAAACUUCAUAAAUUUCUAGACUGUGGUUUGAUUUCUUUGGCUUGAUUAGUGCUUGAGGAAAUAAGGGUAUAUGAGGAGAGUUGGUUAUUUCUUCAUGGGUUAAAGGUUCGACAGACUCUUCCCUAUUUUCUGAAAUUGAAUAUUUACUAGUUUCACGAGGGUCCACAAUGUGUUUUUCGACCACUUUACCACCACGAAGGGUUAUAACCAAUUUGACUUGACUCAUAUUUUGGUUUCCUAAAUUUUUCAUUUGAGGAUGUUGUUGACUCUUGGGGUUUGGUUCAGGUUGAGCAGUAAACUUUCAUUUUUCAUGCAUGGUCGGAGCAGAUGUAAGUUUAGAGAUAGUUUAUGUCAAAUUAGUUAAGGUUUGCAUCGUUUGGUUAUUGAUCGACUUUUGUUUUUCAAUAAACGAAUGCAAUGGGUCUUCCAGAGUUUUUCUUGUUGGUGGGACAUAUGGUGGGUAACUCUGGGGGUUUUGGAAAAUUUGACGUGGAGGAACUGGUUGUGAAGGUUGUGCAUGAUUGUCAUUUCUCCAACUGAAAUUUGGGUGGUUUCUCCAACCAGAGUUGUAAGUUUGGGAGUAUGGAUUUGGAUUUGGCCUUUUGAAAUUGUCAACGACAUUUACUUGUUCAUGCAAACUUUCUCUCAAAGCUGGCAAAGUUGGACAGUCCUGCGUAAAAUGGUUAGUAGAAUCGUAAACAUAACAUGAAAUAUUGUGAACAGACUUUACAUGAUCAUUCUUUUUCAAUUCUAAUGCUUCGACUUUUCUAGGCAAUGAUGCAAAUUUAGGUUGAAAAUCAUGGUCUUCCUUAAGGUUAUGCAUGCCUCCACCAGAUGGAGAUGACUGGGGUUUACUUGAUGACUCAUAAGAACCAACUGUAUCCCAGUGUUGUGCAUUCUCUGCUAUAUAGUCAAGAUAGUCUAAUGCAUCUUCAGGACUUUUAUCCCUAAACUCACCAUUACACAUCAUUUCAACGACUUGUCUACCUUGAGAUGUUAAUCCCUCGUAGAUAUAAGACACUAAUCUGCAUGUUUCAAAACCGUGGUGUGGGCAAAUGUUAAGUAGUUCUUUAAACCUAUCCCAACAUUGGUAGAGAGUUUCUCCUAGUUUUUGAGUGAAAGUGGUGAUUUGUCUUUUGAAAAAAUUUGUUCUGUGGGGUGGGAAGAAUUUUUUCAAAAAUUGUGCUUGCAUUUCAUCACAAGUUCUGAUGGAUCUUGACCUAAGAUUUUGUAGCCCAGUUUUACCUUUAUCCUUUAGUGAGAAAGGAAAAAACUUAAGCCUGAUUAUAUUCAUGCUACAAUUUUGAUCAGUACAUGUGUUACAGACUUCCUCAAAUUCCCUUAAAUGCAAAUAUGGAUUUUCAGACUCAAAACCAUGAAAAGUAGGAACAAGUUGAAUGAUACCAAGUUUGAAAUUAAAACGUGAUGCAUCAAGAAGGAAAACUAUGCAUGAUGGUGACCCUGUUCUAGUAGGAUGCAUGAAGUCUCUAAGAGUCCUAGGCUGUUCAUAAAGAUUUUGCAAGGCUUGGUCAUUUUCAUGCUCCGAAAAAUUUUCAGCUCCUAUGUCAGCCAUAUCUAAGGGUGGUGAAGGUGAUCUUCUAAUUAAUCUACCACUAUUUGUACGAGACCAACGACGCAUGCAAUGCUAAUGAUGUGUGCUAAACCAAUGAUGCAUAAAACGCUUAAUGAAAAUUGUAAAAAAUAAAAAUAAACUGGAAAUUAAAUAAGUAAAAAUACAAAAUAAAAUAAACAAACUGAAAAUAAAUAAAAUAAAUAAAUUAGGCGGUGAAACCAGCCAUAAACAAAGAAAUUAAAAGAAACAUUUGAUGUGGUAAUUUAAAACUUGCCAUAUAAUAAUAUAUAAAAUUAAAUAAAUUAAUGUACAAGAAUAAAUAAACUGAAAUUAAAAUGAUAGGUGGUAGAACCUACCAUAUAAAUAAAAAUACAUAAAUUAACAAAAUUUAAAUAACAGUUAGGCGGUAGAACCGACCAUUUAAAAUAAAUGCCCGACCAUUUAAAAUAAAUAAAUAAACUGAAAUUAAAAUGAUAGGUGGUAGAACCUACCAUAUAAAUAAAAAUACAUAAAUUAACAAAAUUUAAAUAACAGUUAGGCGGUAGAACCGACCAUUUAAAAUAAAUGCGUAAAGUAAAUUGCAGAAAUUUAAAGAAAUAAAUUCGAUUUGGGGACUGAUUUGCAAAGGUUUCUAGGCUAAAAUGAAGUUUCUCACAAAUUUAUAGAUAAUGUUAAAGUUUGAAAAGAGGAGGGGUGCUAACUGAAGUUUUGUGAAAAGAUAAGACAAACUAAAGACAAACUAAAAUAUUUUGCGAAAAAAAAAAAGUAAAGACAAACUAACACCAAAUUUAGAAAACUCCCCGGCAACGACGCUAAAAACUUGACAUGACUCAAAAAUAUAUUACUCCUAAGUAUAAGAGUGUGUAGUUAUAAUAUAACCCGGUGAGUUCGGGGUUGAACCACAGAAAAUUUUAAAAUCUAGUUGUCAAUUUGUUAAACAAAGAAAAUUAAUUGUGGGGAAAAUAAAUUAUUUGAAAACAAUUUAAAAAUAUGCUAAGGUUACGGGAUCCACUCUCAGUAUUCAAAUUAUAAUUUUAAUACUCUCUCAUUUAUAUUUUGCCUCACUUUUACCAGUUUAUUAUUAUAUCAUUUAAUUCUCUGUGUGUGGAUAAAUAUGGAAUAAAGUACCUAAUGUGCCACACUAUGUUAAUGUGUCGACAUUAUGUCAAAAUACCAUAUAGAUCCAAAGAAAUUUAUAAAUUAACAUGACAUAAAAAUAGCUAGAAAAGAAUAAAACAAACUUAAAAACUCAUUUGAGAAAAUAAUAAUAAUUAAUAGUUUGAAACAUUGAGUGUAACAACUUAGGCGAAUCCCACAUCGGCAAAGCACGGGAGAGAUGAUGGGUUUAUAAGGGGUGAUCCACACCUUAAUUGGCAAGAUGCGUUUUGGGGUGUAUGGGCGCCCCAAGAGCAAAUCCGUGCGGGCCUUGUUAAGGCCCAAAGCGGACAAUAUCUUGCCAGGUCUGGGUUGAGUCAUGACAUUACGGUAUCAGAGCGGCUCCGCGUAUCCUCUUGAGCGAUGGUGGGGCAAACCUCAGUGAGGACGCUGAGUCCCCAAGGGGGGGUGUAUGUAACACCCUAGGCGAAUCCAACAUCGACAAAGCACGGGAGAGAUGCUGGGUUUAUAAGGGGUGAUCCAUACCUUAAUUGGCAAGACGCGUUUUGGGGUGUAUGGGCGCCCCAAGAACAAAUCCGUGCGGGUCUUGUUAAGGCCCAAAGCGGACAAUAUCUUGCCAGGUCUGGGUUGGGUCAUGACAUUGAGCUUCACCCUUCACCUCAGCUUAAUAAAAUUAGCCACACAUAUUAAAAGAAAAUACAACACUCUUUUUAUUUGAUAAACUUUUGGAAAUAUAUUACAAAGAAACAAACAAAGAAAUAAAUUCUUCAACUACACCCUUAGCUAUCACUCUCUCUCAGAACUCGGCUCCCUCCUCUACUGGCUUCUCCCUGCAUUUCCUUACUGACCAUCACGAGAAACCAAAUUGCUUGGUUUUUGUUCUUUUUUCAUUCUUAUAAUUUUUUAUUCGUUUUUAUUUUUUAUUUUAUUUAUUUAUUUACAUCUCCUCAAUAAUGCUUCCAAAUUGCUCCAGGAGUCCUUUUUUAUUCCCGCUUUCAAUUCCAAUUUAUUCCUGAAAAAUAUUUAUAAGAUAAAAAUUAACAUAUUGCGAAUUAAUUUAACACAAAAAUUUAUUUAGGGAGCGGGAGCAUUCAUAUAAUUUAUAAGUUAUGCGCGCAUUAAUCAACACUUUAAGUGAAAAACUAAAAUUUUUAUCCUUAUUACACGUACACUUUUUAGUGUUAAUCAAAUACGCUAAUUUAAUAAAGGAGUAUCCAUAAUAAUAAUAAUGGGAGGUCGUCAAUUUUCCUCUAUUCAAAUCAAUAUUUACUAAUUACUUUAGUAUUGUUUUAAUAAUAGUCAAUAAUUUUUAAUUAUGUAAUUUUAUAAUAUUAUUCUUAUUUUUAAAUAAAAUUUUAUUCGUAUUUAUUAUAACUUAAAUGAAUUAUAUAAAUACGAAUUAAAAUAAAAAAUUUAAGUACUAAAAAUAAAAAAUAAAUAUGUUUCAAUUUAAAUAAAAAAUUAAUUAACAAAUAUUUUCUUGUACUUUUUGUUAUUUUUAAAUAUUUUUCUUAUAAUGAAUGCACAUAUUAUAGCCCCAAGAUAAGUUAUUAAGAAAAUAACUCAUUUACCCCUCUUUUGUUUUAAAGUUUUUGGUGACAAGAGAGUUUUUAGGUAUUAUAAAAUUAAUAAGAAAUAAAUGAUAUAUAUUAGUUCCAAUAGAAAAAAAUUAUCAACCUCCUUAAUAAUAAAAGUGACAAAUAAUGAAAGGUAAAAGAGAUAAAUUGCAUGUUCAUUCUUCUUUUAGAUUCUUUUCUUCUCAACUUUCUAUUUAAACUCUCUUACAUUCUUUACUUCUCAACUUUCUUACAUUUUUUACUUCUCAACUUUCUAUUUUAUCACUUUUAAAUUCUUUUCUUCAAACUCUUUUAGAUUCUUUACUUCUCAACUUUCUAUUUAAACUCUCUUACAUCCUGUACUUCUCAACUUUCUAUUACAUUCAUUAUUCAAUUUAUAAUUUUCAUACCUUAAAUCCUAAAAUUUAAGUCAAGUCUCUUCCCCUUUCUCAUCUUUGCAUACGCAACACAAUCUUUUUAGCUCUCCUCUCUUCGCAAGUAAGUAAAAUCUCAGUUCAUCGCAUCAUCUCACGGUUUGUUUUCAUACUUUGCUUUCUCCAAAUUGCCCUUGCCUUUUCCUCUCAAUCUCAAUUUCUUUUUUUUUUUAUUAUAGACUCGAUUUUCUUUACCUCGGUUUGUAAAUUUUAUUGGAUGUAAUGCAUAAUCAUGGGAGACCCAAUUAAGGCCUAGGAGGGGGUUCAGGCCCUUCUGGGCCAUUAAUUUUUGUUUUAAAUAUACUCCAAGCCCUUUCUAAAAGAAUUAAAUAAAAAAAAUUUAGACACAUUUUUCAUGUAACAAAAAACUUAUAGUUCAAUGGUAAGAGUGUUAUUUAAUAGUUUUAAAGUCCAGAUUCAAAUCUCAAUAGCCACAUUAUUUUAUUUAUUUUUAAAUAUUUUGCGAAAACUACUUAGAAAAAUGAUACUUUCAUGAAUUUAAAAAAAUUGUUUAUUACUAUUAUUAUUUAAAAUUUAAAAGAAAGUAAUGAAAUUUGAGUUUAUGAGACUUAAAAUGUAUUUGUGUGAAUAUUUAAAAAAAACCCAAAUUAAAUAAUUUUUUUAACUAAGCCCCCCUAAGUUUGCUACUGUGCAUAAUUGAUCGUCGUCAUUUUUUUUUUUCAAUAAUUUCAUAAAACAAGCAGAAUUAAAUUAAAAUAUAUAUCAACACAAUUAAUUAAUUAACUGAUGCUGUUUAGAUUCUGUGCUUGAUUAUAUAUCAAUUCAUCAUAUUUUUAUUAAGAUUAUAAAUUUAACUAUAUUGUCGGGGUCUGAAUGAUUUUUAUUUUUAAUUUUUUUAAUGAAUUUAUUCAUGUUCGGUUGGAUAAUAUUUAAAGUAAUAACAAAUAUAGGUUUUAAUGGAGUGAAAUUGUAAGGGUAUGGUAACUAAAUUUUGUUUCUUAUUGUUUAAUGGUAAAAACUGAAUUCAAAGUGAAGUGGUUUGAUAUUGUAAAUGCAUUGCAGGUAAAUUGAAAUCUUUUUUAUGAUGGGAGGAAGAGUGAUUGAUGUCGAUUCGAUGCCUACUUCUCCAUCUAAUGCGGAGCGCACUUUGGUUUUAGUUGGCCGUACUGGCAAUGGCAAAAGUGCGACGGGCAAUAGUAUUCUCGGAAGAAGAGCCUUCAAGUCGAAGGCUGGCUCGUCUGGGGUUACUAAAACUUGUGAAAUGCAGAGAACCAUGCUCAAAGAUGGCCAAGUUGUUAAUGUCAUUGAUACUCCUG